rnacentral:lncRNA from 1 species
AUGUGCCAACCUCCUAAACUGAUGGACCAUUUUUUAUUAAGGUGAUGGGCCAAUUUUCUAAAAUAAUGGGCUACCUAUUUCUUUCCUUAUGCUUACCUACAUAUUUGGGCUCAAGAAAUGAGCUUGAGUUUUAGGGUUCCCAAGCAGCCCAAAACUUCCAUUUCUCGACUCAUUAAUGGGUCUCAUACUUGUUACCAUCCAUGCCACAACCCACUCAACAAGCCCUGAGCAUUUGAGUGGCUUGAGCCCACUUAAGCUUGUAGCGUGGCUAAGUGUAAAAAUAAGGAUCUUUCUGCUUGGCAUUGCAUGUCGAUUGGCGUGCUUGAAUUUUAUCGUAUUUGAAAAGGGAUAUGAUGAUUGACGGGAUAAUUAGCAUGAGCUCGUAGAGCCAGUGCAUUUUAUAGGCUCAUUUCAAUUCUUAGCGUGACGGAUUGCGUAUUUAUCUGGCAUGACAUGUGGUUGUGGCUCGUGCAAGCGUGCAUGACGAAUUUCAUGUGCUGGGCUAGGAAUUUAUUUGGGCCUAACUCUAGAUUUUUUGGGCCUAAACAUGGGUCAACUCAACUUUGACCCGUCAAUAAACGGGUGGAUUUCGAGUUAACCUGCCAACCCGCUAAAAUACCUAUGUAACCCAUUUAUUAAACGGGCUAACCCACCAACCGGCUAAAAUACAUAUGUGACCCGCCAACCCAUUUCUUUGUUUCUUCUUCAUUUUCUUCAUUUAUUUUAAUUCUUAUAUUUCUCUUUCUCAGCAUUCAUACGUAGAAAGAGGCAAAAUGUAAUCACUAUUUUGUAUAUAAAUAAAAAGUAUAAAAUGCAAUUACUUUAUUAAAUUAUCAGAAUUCAGGAUUGUUUUUUUUAUUUAUUUAUAAAAAGUAUAAAAUGCAAUUACUUAGCGAGUCAACUCGACACUACCCGAAAUCUGCACGGGUCAUCUCGUAUAUGACACGUUUAUUAAACGGGUUGGGUUAGGUUUAAACAUUCUUGAUACGUAUAUAAUCCUGACACGACACGAACCCGAUACGUCCUAUUACCAACCCUAAUUAGGAGUCAUUUCUCUCUCCUCGGAUUUAGGAACACCUAGAGGUCUCCCUAUUUUAGGAGGAGGAUAGGAAGGAUGGUCGGAGUUGUAUUUUUCCAAUUGCUCCACACAAAAAAUUGUCUAAUGAGGUGGUUUAGGGAGCCCAUUGAGGAUGCUCUAUCAUUAUAACUUAUAGGUUUAUUAACUAAAGUGCCCCCAUAAACUUUGGUCAAAUCCCACUUUUCCUAAUGAAAUUGAAAGUGACCCAUAUUGCCCCUUUGACCGUGGUUUUAUGGGUCACUUUGCCCCAUGCCAUUAACUUUGUUCCAAACAACAUAAAAAAAUGCUGACGUGACAGAGAUAAUUUCGUCUUUUUGUCCCAGCUGACUAUCUUCUCACUAGUAUGAGAGGGUGACAUGGCUAUUUUCCCACUAGUAUAAGAAGGGUAUCCCUCCUAGCCCCAAUCUCCCCUAGCCUCUUCUUGAAUUAAUUAGUGUAUAGUGAUUAAAAACUUUAAUAAUUAUGAUAUUAUAAAUAAAGUAUUUUAGUUUUAGGUAUGGUGAAUGGAUUUUGAGGUUUUUUUUUUUUUUUUUUUUGUGUGUGGAUGAUAUGUUUGGUGGGCCAAAUUGGAUGGGCCCAUUUAAAUUUAUAGAGGAAAAGUCUAUUUUGCCCCUUUUAGGUUAAAAGGGCAACAUCGCAAGAUGGACCACCGUUGAUGUUUGCUGGCCAGACAUGCCGCCAUUGGUUGGACCCACAUCCGACACCUUUACUUAAAUUAAUAAUUAAAAAAAUAUUAAACACCAUGCCAUUUGUAGGAUUCGAACCUCUAACCUCCACUAUGAAAAUUAUUCACUUUUCCAACCAAACUAUACCACACUUUUGAUAAUUUUGGAUUUUUAUUAACUAGCCCCUCAAAAAUUGGACAAACCGGUUUAGUCACUGUCUAACAGUGACAUAAAAGAACACUUAUGUCAGUGUUGAACAGUGACAUUGAACAACUCUCGGGUCACUGUUCGACAGUGACAUAAAAUAACUCUUAUGUCACUGUCAGACAGUGACUGGACCGGUUUGUCCAAUUCUAGAGAGGUUGGACCAUUCUAACAUUUUGUCUUGGGUGAAUGACAUUUUUAUCAUUUCUGAUGCACAACUGUGUUGUAAUUUCUAUUAUAUAAGUCUAAAAAUAUAAAUAUAAGAGUACUCUUUGGUUAUAUGUUUAUUUUUAUAUAUGUAUUAAAUGGUUUGAAAUUGGAUUGUGUUGCCUUCGGAAAUACUGAUGUCUUCGGACAUCCCGGUUGUCUUCGAAAAUAUUUAAAAAAUAUUAUACCUAAAAAUGAAUCUUAUGAAAAUGUGCUACUUCUAUCCCAAACUAAGAUUGACAUCAUGAAAAUUAAAGGAGUUUGUGCCAUUAGAAUUAAUAAAACCAAAAUAAGCUUUCAAAUCCUUUAUUGAACCAUUAAAUUUGAACUUAACAAAAAAGGGGCCCUAAAAGAUAUCGUGUAUAUAUUGCUUGUUUGUUAAAAACAUUUAGAAAGCAUUGAAAAAAUUAACUUAAUUUAUAACAUGUGUAAACAAAAUAAGAAGUUUAUUAGUUUAUCAUACAUAUUAUAUUAUUUUGAUUAAGUAUAAAAAUGAGUUUAGGAAGUGCAUUAAUUAAAUGUUUAAAAAAGAAGGGCAUAGGCGACCAGUCCUAGGCCAGGUCGUGGGCGGACUGAGGGUUUCAAAUCCUAAGCUUAAGCCUCACCCAACCUUAUAGCAGGUUGGGCCAAGUGAGCCUAACCAUCAGACAGGACUGAGCUGAGCUUUGGCCCAUCUAGCCUUGUUUGCUCUUGAGCAUUCAAAAACUAUUUUUAUUGCUCUUACUUGAGAGUGAGUAUGAUUGCAUACACAUAAAAUUCCUCCAAGUACAUUCACAUUGAUUUCGACUUAAUGUUUCGUUGUUUAAUUGUUGUAAUAUUGAUUUAAACUAUAUGCUUCAAGUUCAACACUUAUAGUUUAAUCAUCACAACAUUUGGUUUCAAUUCUCUAGCUUAAUCAUCAUUUGUGAUUAAGAAAGAUGAAUUCGUGAAACCACAACUCACUUCAUAUAUCAAAUUACAUGCAACUUGAGCUUGGUACUCUUGCAAAGACUUGGAGAAGAUUUGCUACUAAGAGGUAAAGAAAAGGUACUUGUUGAAAGGUUAGAUUGUAGCUGCCUAUAGGUGAUAGUUUGAGCUAAGUCUUCUUUCAUUUUUCUAGUACUUCUUAACAGAGUAGGUUAGAACUCUCCUGGCUUGGUGUCCCAAGUUUUUCCCCUUGUUGAGUUUCUGGGUCAAUAUUUGUUGCGUGUUAUUUACUUAAUGCUUUUUCUUGUUCUUUAUUCUCCACAUCAUUGUUUGUGUUUAUUCAUGUGUGCGCCUUUAAAGGACUUACAAUUUAAAAAGGUAGGUUAUUACCAUAUAGCCUACUUCACACAAACCCACACCCCCCCUGUAGGCUUUUGGAGCUUAAGGCCUGAUUUUACAAGUUGUUCUACACCAUGACAUGAAAACUAGGGCAACAACUACAUCGUGAAGGCAUUCCUAUGAAUAUGCCCGCGUACGUUCUUCUCAUAUCAAAGGUGAUGGCUUUAAAGCCCAUUUGAGCUGAAAACGUUAGCUAUUUCAUUUUGGUAUUCUUUGGGUUGGUUUAAAGAUGAAAGGGAAUUUUAAUUGAAAAGGGCCUUGACUUGCAGACAAGAGGGCUCAAGUUCGAACCCACAUGGCAUCUUGGUUGUGUGUGUGAGAAACCUCAUUCCCUUGUAGUUUAGAUUAUCGCUUAUACUAUUAUUUUUUUAAUAAAUAAAAGGAUGAACAGGAAUUCCUAGUUAUCAUGAAAAGAGUGUUGGUACCUGGCUAAUAAUGGUUGAGAGAGGGAGAGAGGCUAGUUGGUGAUGACUUUGUUUUGAAGAAAUGCUAUCCACUACCAUUUUUGAAGGAUUUUGUGUUGAUUUUGCAUUUGAAUGGCAUUUUUACAAGGAUGCCUAGAAUAAGGGUUCCCCAUUAGACUGGCUGCUUUUUUCUUUUUUCUUUUUUCUUUUUUCUUUCCAUGUAAGGAAGUAAAUAAAAACUUAGAGAUUUGUUGACGGGUAGGUCCCUAAUCCUUGUUGAACUCUCAUUAGAACCCUACAAUGCAAUUAAGUAUCGUUAUGUAUACUCCCAUCAUAAAAAGAAAAAAUAAAUAAACUCUUACCACAAAAUAACCAUAUCUAUUACUAUAGCACAGGCAGAUUACCAAAACAACCACUCCCUUCCUACCCUGUUCAGACAACCAUUCAUCUCCUUUGAUUUUCUUAGAAUGUCAUCCGUCUCUUGCUUCGGUUUCAUUAGCCUCUCUGUCUAGUUCGCUUUGCCGGACCAGCUGUUGCUGGUGCGGCUGCCCUUUUUGAGGGCCGUCCCACACUCCUUUUCGUGGGACUUCCUUGCUCUUUUGCAGCUUGUCUCCCACCAGAACCUCUGCGCGAACCUUGAUCUUUUUGUGCAUUUCCCUUGCCAUUUCCAUUUUUCCUCUGCUCUGCUCUUCCUCCUCUGCUGUUAUUGUCUGGGGUCUUUGAUGUCUCUGCCGAUAAUCCAGUUUUGGAUGUGGAGCUCCUCUUCAUUCUACUCAAAAAAUCUGCGGCGCUUCGCUUUUUCCCACUUGAAUUAGUGUUGCUCUUCUUUUCCGUCUCAGCUUUGGACUCUGAGUUCUCAUUGCUUGUCACUACUCUGCUUGAAAACCCGUCAUUGGCUUCUGAAUUCCUGUCGUUGUUAGUAUUACCAUGGCUCCUGCCAUUUUUGCUCGAGUUGUUUCUUGAACUGCUCCUGAGUCUUUCUUUUCUUCUUUUCUUGGUGACGUGAAGUUUCUCAACUUCAUCCGAGGAUUCUUCUUUUUGCUUCCAACUUAUAGCUGGCUUGACAUCACGGAAUGAGGUAGUGAUUUGCUCUUUUUUUCUGUCUGGUCCAGAAGAAGAUGUUGUGGAUGCUCUUGCAGUAAUUGAGCUGCGCUUGCGACAAGCAUUCAGUGGAAGUGAAAGUUUUGAUUUUGCUAGCAAUGAAUCCGACGUUUCAGGAUCCUGGUUCAGAGGUGGAGCUGGCGGUUUCGGAGUUUCUUCUUUAGGUGGUGGAUCUUGUUUAGGAGCCUGAAGAACCAUUUCCUUUGAAACAAGUAACUGAAGCUCGCACGCGGCCUUGUAUUCUGGAGACUUUUUCCCAAAGAAGACUAUGGCAUUGUUACAAAUAAGCAACAGAUCUCGAAAAAAUAAGAAUCUGCUGCAGGGUUCGUACCGACCUCCUUCAAGUCUGGUUUGCACCAAUUCAAAAUCUACAUGUUGCCGAAUCAUGUUUUUAUAAAUGGGGGUCUCCUGCAACAUUAGAGAACCAUGAAUCACACUGUCAUUUAUUCUGCACAAGUAACCAAAGUUAUUAAAGAUAAGAUGACACGUUUAUGCAAAGAAUAAGGUCAUCCCAACUCAAAGUUUUGACAUUUUAGAAAUCCAAUUACCAAUUAGCUAGAUAUGAGACUAGAAUCAAAUUUUUACAAAAGUACUUUUGGGUUAACAUUUCAUUCCAAGCUGGUGUUGUCUUUUUUGAUUUAUUGCCCUGCAGUUUCUGAGUUGAAAGCGCAAUUUUGGGCCCAUGAGCUUUGGCUUGAAUGGCAUAAGCAUGAAGGGGGGAAAUGGUAAAUCUAGGUUCACAUCUUGCCAUAAGUUGAAAAAGAAAAGGGAACAGCCAAUUAUCACCAAGCAGAUUUUAUCCCAAUAGAGCAACCAAAUCUCAUGCCACUACUAACUUUGAUGAGGGAAACAACAAAAAAUGAGAUUCCUGCAACAAGGAAAUGGUGGGGCCAACCACUUUUGUAUGGUCAAAUUGCACCAACGAGAGUUGGUAUAGCCUUAUUGGCCAAGGAUAGAAUGCAAACUCAGAAAGUAGCACGAGAAAGAAAAAGUAUCCCUUUCAAAUAAUAAAAAUCUAAAGUUAUUCACCAUCUCUAAACAUGGUAGCAUCCUCAAUUAGCAAAUCCCAAAAAACCACCACCAAGCAAAAGAUGAAUAAUUUUUUUAAUUAGAUGAAUCCGCCAAAUAGUCAUAUUCUUUCGCAUUGACUAAUUAUUAAUUUCUUCGACUUAUUGAAAGAAGUUCUAAAUUCAAAUUCCUCUUCCUUCAUGCCAACCCUUGACAUGAUGUGGUACGCACGGCUUAUCAACUAUAAUAGUAUUAGUAUAGAUUCUUUUUUCAACAGAACAAGAAAUUAAAAACUAAAAACCAAUAGUCUAUUGAGACUGACUACAAAAUAAAAGGAAAUAUCUAAUCGACAAAUCGAGUAGGCACAUAAAGACCUAUCCACCCAACUCACAUAAAUACUUCCAACAAGGUACCAACUAGUCCUUUUCAGUCGAAUUUUUAAUACACUUACUAAUAUGCACCAUCACGUACAAUAUAACCGCUCUCAAAUAGGGCAAAAGAACAACAUAACGUCACAGCCAUUAAACCCGCGGUGACAUGUCGCUACCUUAUUGGACAGCGACCUCCGACCUAAAGACGUCGCCGUUUACUUUAUGAAAACAAUACUAAUUUUCUUUUAAAUAAAUAAAUAAAUAAAUAAUAACCGAACCUGGGAAUGAAGCCGGCGCUCGAAAAAGGAGGCAAACUUAUGAGACCGAAGGAUCCCGAGGAAUUCAGCCAACGGCUGAGAUUCAACGGGGACGCCCUUCAUGGCGGGAGAUUCAUCCUCUUGGUCCGGUUCAGAUGGUUCUUCCGGUCUGUCCGGACCGCCCGGUCCACCCGGUUUCGGUUCCUGCCCUAGUUUUCUCGACAAACUCGCCGAGCUCUGCACCUCACUGUUACUCGGACUCUCCUUCGUCCCCUCCUCCUCCCUUCCUUUCGACUCGGCCACCGAUUCCUUCAACUCGCCGGAGUUCCCCUUCUCCGCCUCCACAACCGCCGUUUCCUUCACCACCGAAUCGGAGCUUCCAUUACACGAAUCCUCCACCACCGGAUUAUCCAACUUCUCCACCGGUUCAAUCUCCUCACCCGCCGGUUCAGUCUGUCCGGAGCCUUUAUCAGCAUCGGCGACUUCGGUUUCGGGAAUCUCGUGUUUCGGAUCUGUCGUGUUUGAUUCGUUACACGACCGGUCGUCAUGCUCGGAGACUUCGCCGGAGAUACCUUUCUUCUCCGGCGAAUUGUCUACCGGUUCGGCGUCUUUGUGUUCGAUCUCUUCCUCUUCAGUCUUCUCUAGAUCCGAUUUUUCGACCGGUUUUUCGGUCUCUCUCAAACUCUGUUCGCGAACCUCCUUUAAUCUCUCCACCUUCAACUGCAGAGACCUACACGAUUAUAUCACACAAAUAAUUGAAUUUAAUAUCUUGAUUAUAAUAAAAAAUUCAAAUCGCUAUCGUGAUGGAUUUAGAUUUCUACACGAUGGAAUGGUCGUAGCGUUGGAGUUCACGUCGGAGUUCAUCGAGACGGCGUUGUCGUAACUGGUCUAGCCAAGGAAUAGGAGGAGUAUCGUCGUCUUUGCCGGAAGCGGCGUCGUUUUGACUGAAACGACGUCGGAGGUCCUGGAACUUGCGUUUACAUGCGUGCGGGGUGAGAAGAUGGAGAUUGGAACUGCGUUUGCGGAGUUCGGUGGCGACGGCGUCCCAGCUCUGCGUGCCGAAGCGGUGGACGGCGCAGGCGAGGAGGAGCUCCUCCCACGUGCCCCAUGAUGGUGUUUGUUUCUCGGGAAAAUUGGGUUUAUCCAUCAAGAAAAUCAUGUAGUCACUCAGUCCAUUGUCACAACUUCCCUCUGCAACAACUGAUUUAACGUUCAUUUAACAUGUUUGAUUGAUUUUAAUUCCCUUGGGUCUAUUUGCCUCUUGGGCCUGUGUUUUUUUUCCUUCCUUUUUUCUGGUUUUGUUUUAAUUUUAAUUUUAAUUUUAAGUUUGUUGUGUUAGGAAUAGGCACUCAUCUCGAGCAUGGGGACUUUUGCCUUUGUCGGCCAAAAUUACUAUUUUGUCACGUAUUUGUUUUGUCAUUGGAAUUUAUUUAAAUUACGCUUUUGCCCUCCUAAAUUGAAAAUAUCAAUUUUGAAAUAUGCAAGUGACUGUUGGCCGACGUGUCCAUCCAAGUGACUAGAUUUAUUCGUACGGUCAGGAUUAUGAAACCCAAUAAAUCUGUCGUGGAUGUGACUGGCUCCAAAGGUCCAUAAGCCACACGCACGCGCAUAACAUAACACUUGGGUUUAGAUAUUAGAUUGGGUUUGGGCUCUUGGGCACAAUGCCCUCCCAUACUCCUACUAGUUCUUUCUAGUGGUCCAAUGUACAUUUUGGAGAAUCUUACCUAAAAUAUGGGAUGUAGAAAUAAAUGCUCCCAAUGUUUUUUUUUUUUUUUUUUGGUUAUUCGGAAAAGUUGGAUACCAAGCAAAAGAAAGAGCCACGCAUGUAGGCAAUUUAGCAUUUUACACACUCGUGAAGAGCGAGCCUAUUGUAUCGUGAACAUAAUUACCACAGAAAUCAUCAAAUUAAAUUCGUUAUUUUUCGGAGAUAGAACACAACUAUUGUAAAUGUUUUUAAAUGUUUUUACUUUUUUUUAAUUCAAUAGCCAAAAUGCAAUAAACUGGUGCAUUUUACUCUUGUUAUGCUACAGUUGAAUCAACUUCUUAAUUCAAAAUUCAUCCCUAAGUAUCACCAUUCUUACUAUUUUAUUCAGCAAUUUUUACACCAACCACAGAACAAAUCAAUAACAAAAUACCUAACAAAUACCAAAAUAAAUAAAACAAACUAUAUAACUUCGUAGCUCUGCCACCAUCAGUGAUUGAGUGCCUUCUUCAAUUCCUCACUCACAUCACCCUCCGACGGCCCUUUCUCGCUGUUUGACCGCCAGUCAACUUUCCCGCCAGAAUUCCUGCCCCCAAUAUUGCCUGAAUUUGAAAUCGACUUUGUGGCGCCGGCGAUUUCCUGCCUGAGAUCCUCCACAGCCUUUCUCAGCAACCCGUUCUCGCUCUGUAAAGCCUCCAGCUGACGCUUCACCGUGAAGCAAGCCUCCGCCACCUCGGCAUUUCCCGGAAAUGUCAAUCCCUUUUCCAUCUCUGCUGCCUUCGUGGUUUUACCCUUCGAAUCUGCAACGUCCACGUGUUCGAUCCCGAUCUUGUUCAUCACCAGGAACGGGAUCUUGUGAAACGCAAUCGGAUUAGCCCCAGUACUCUUCAUCUCCGCCGGCACCCUAACCCCCCACCGCAAGUUCACCACCCCCCGGUUCCACACCGGCAUCGACGUCCUCGCCGCCAUUUCCACGCCGGAAAACACACCGGCGAGAAUUCCGGCCACUUGAUUUUCCGAGGGCAAAACCGUGAUUUUCUUCCCCAUAAACGCAGUAUCCACUGCUGGUGUCUCCGCCGAAACGACGCCGUCAGCUGGACUUACGAUUUUUUGAAAGACAGAGGACUGCGACUUCUUGAUCGAGAAGUCUCCGAACUGAGGCUUGAAGUGGAGCAUGAAGCUAGGGUUUUUCCCGCUGCCGAGCAGAUUGAACUCGGCGCUCAUGAGCAUGGAACUGGAGAUCGGCGAGCCGAAGGGACCGGUCCCAGUCUUGACGACGAGGGAGAAUGGGUUGGACGAGUCAUUCGGCCGGUAACCGACCCGGAUGGAGGGUCCGGAUUCGAAGAAGGUGCCGAGGUUGAGAGUGAGCUCCUUAGACUCGCCGGCAACGAUUCCAGAUUGAAAAGGCAGGCCCAAUAUGCUGAGGGGCACCUUGGCCCUCAACAAUGGCUUCUGAUCCUCGCGGAAUUUGACCGAAGCUUUCAUUUCUGGUUUUGUAGAAAACCCUAAUUGUGAAAUUUGGGGGGGACGAAAUUUAUAUCAAUUUUGUCUCCUGAGAGUUACAGUGAAAUGAGUUUUGGCUGGAUUUGAGCUUGGCGUGUGAGCUGGCAUCUGCGUCUUCGCUUUUGGGUGCGUCCGUCAAAAUUUAGCCCUUGUGUUUUGAUGAAAUUACAAAUCUCGUAGUCUGAGGAUGCUGUAAUAUUUAGAACUGUUUAGGCGCAUGUGUGUGCCCGCUAAUGGGUCAGGAGCGUGGUGUGGCCACACGUGGCAAGAAGGUUUUGAAUUUUUAAAAUUCGGAAGUCUAAAAUUAAUGAAUUUUUGAAAUUUAAAAUUUGUGGAAAUAAUUCCCGAGUGGCUAGCUAGGACCGUUACGCGCGGAUUUGGUUGCCUAAUGUUCGCUGCUAGUAUAUUCAAAUUGAAUCGUGCGUUACCCAAAAACUAAAAUUUGAAACGUGAAUUCAUGAUAUUAUUGCUUUAAGAUUUUGCAUUUCCAUAAGGUGGAGUCUCCAUUCGUGAAUCCAGCCCCCAGAUAGUCUAGUGAGAAAGAGAUGGGGGAACAAUGAAUGAGAAUCAUGAUAGGUAUAUAGUUCAAUUUCCCCUAAUAUAACAAAUAAAAAUUAAUUGUGAAAUAGAUUAAACUACUCUAACUAUUAGGCCAUUUUUAAGUUCAUUGAACCAUUUAGCAUUUUCACAUUAAUACACAAACUCGUACACAAUCUACAUGCUGAGAUAAUAUUAUUCUAACUCUCCUAUAAUUAUACUAUUAUUGACUUGAGCUCGUAAUGUUUUUUUACAGGUACCCCCCUCCUUUCUCAUUGGUGACACUGACAAAAAUGAUCCAUAGCUUCUCAACAUGAAAAAAAGAUUGCUUGUUCGAGGAGCCAAAAAAUUUCGCUCCAACAUCUACUUAGUUGAAUAUUACGAUAUUGGCAUAUAUGGAUAUGCAAUCUUGUAAACGAGGCCAAACUAAGCAAAUACUUUUCUUGCAUAUUGCUUUAGGUCGUAUCCAUGCCAUAAUUUUUUUUUUUUUUUAAAUCCAUUUAAUUAGCCCCAAACUGAUGAAACUGACCAACGCAACCCAAUCAUAAUAGGGUUUGGUUGGUCUGGGUUGACCUAAUAAUGAGCCCUUUUUUGGCCCAAUAAAUCUUACACCGUUAUGUAUAGGUUAGGUAACACAUUGAGACCAAAAUCGACCUAACCCAACUCGUGCCCAUCCCUAAUAUUGACAGUGUAGAUGCCACAUUUUAUGCUUACUUGGACUGUCAAUAGCUCAUGCGUGUCUCUGACUCCAUUCAUUUGCUCGUCGUGGAUCGGUUCGAAUUGUGCUUCAAUCUAUUUAAACUUGGUUUCAAUGUCUUCGUCUCGUCCCAACUCAUGUGCGAUUUAUGUUUUCUGUGGGUGGACAUGUCUUGGCGGUGGCAUGAUUUAGGACAAACUAUGGGUAAAUUCUUAUGGAGGAAAAUAAAGAAAAUCUUUUGGUUCAAAAUUGGCAAGAACACACACAAUAAGAAAGAAUCACACUAGAUAUCAGUUAUGGCCUUAAAAGGGGAAGAAAGAUAUAUCAUUGGGUUUUUUGAUUGGUUGAGCAAGUUUGAAGCAAAUAUUAUGGCGAGGAAAAUAUUUUAUUCAAUGUUUUAUUUUUUAUUUUUUACUUUUUUAAAAGAAUGUAAUAGAUUGCAUUCAUAAUUCAUGCCUAAGGGUGAAUACAAAUACAAAUAACUAUAUAGGGUUAAUACAAAUACGGAAGUACAAUAACCACAAAAGGGUUAAUCUAAAUACGAAGGAAUCCACCGGCAACAACAAGCCAACAAGGUGUACCUCUACUCAUAAAGUCAAAGAAAUUCCAGCAUAAAAGCAAUUAAUCUGGAAAAACCAGGCAAAUACCUCAUUGCACAAAACUACAAAUGUAACUACAACCUUUAAGAUCUAAUAAGCUUUGUUAUUUUAUUGAUAUUAUGAUUUGAUUGGUUUCUUGGUAGUUAAGUUUAAGAAUAAUUUGGAAUCUUUAAGAAUUCCUACGUGUAUUAGGGUUUUGAGUUUACUAUUUAAACAUAAUUUAUGCAGUUGUAUUUGUUAGCUUUUAUUCAUAUUAUAUUAUUAAUAAAAUUCAGAGGGUUUCUCUCUAUUUUUCAGGUGGAUUUCAGUUUAUCAACUUUUAGGGUUAACAUUUGUUUUCUCUUUAUCUUAUUAUCGUGCUUUCGUACCGUGUCACGAGUCAACGGAACAAUGACGACUCCCUCAGGCAUAGGUGGUUGUAAGCUGGGGUGGGGGUGAGGGAAAAGGGUGAUUGGUCCGAGUUGGGCAUGCAAGUUUUGUUGUGAGUGGAGGGGUCGUAUGGAAAGAGAGAGAGAGAGACAUGAAGUUUCUUUUUAUUUUAUUUUCAAUUGUUUCUUAUUUUGUAAAAUUUUAUCCACAUAAGCAUUAACCGACUAUAAGUGCCCGUUUGACAUUGCUUAUUUGAGGUAAUAAGUGAUUUUUAAAAAAUUUUGAGAUGCCCAACCCGUUUGGUAAACUGUGAGAAAAUCACUUAUUGUUAAAAAUUGCUGUGAAAGAAAGCUAUAAGGGAAAGCAGCUAAUGAAGUGCUUUCAUUUUCUGAUUAUGUUGGAAUCAAUUUCAAAGAGGCGCUGGAUUUAAUGAUUAUGUGUAAAAUCAAUACCUACAACACUUUUAACAAAAAUUUUACCAAACGCCAAAUUGCUUUGUCUCACAGCUGAUUUCUCUCACAGCAAAUCUGACAGCGAUUAUUUUCACAUCACAGCAAUGCCAAACUGGCCCCAAGUGCCAGUUUGGCAUUACUUAUUUGGAGUGAUAAGUGAUUUUAAAAAAAUUUGGGAAGCUCAGCCCGUUUGGUAAACUAUGAGAAAAUCACUUAUUGUUAAAAAUUGCUUUGAGAGAAAGCUAUAAAAGAAAGAAACUAAUGGGGUGCUUUCAUUUUCUAAUUAUGUAGGAAUCAGUUUUGAAGAGGAGUUAGGUUUAAUGAUUAUGCGGCAAUCAUUUUCUGAUUAUGCGGGAAUCAGUACCAACAACACCUUUAACAAAAAGUUUACCAAAUGCCAAACUGAUUUCUCUCAUAGCAAAUCUGACAACAAUUAUUUUUACAGCACAUCAAUGCUAAACUGGCCCUAACUUACAAUAUUAGACAAUUAAGAGAUUAAAAUUUGUAGGUUUAUCCAAUUUCUUAGCCGUUUGGUUUAAGGUUUAAUAGCUUGGUAAUGUGUAUGAAAUUGUAUUCCUAUGUUGAUAAGUGUAUCCUUGGGAAUCCAAUAUCCUAACUCAUGGGUAUUGUUGGAAAACUAAGCGCCCGUUUGGUAUCCUAUUAAAAAAAAAAAAACUUAAAAACUAUGAUUCUUUUUAAAAUAUGAGUUUUCAAAUACAAAUUUUAAGAUCUGAAAACUUGUUUGGUAUGCAACUUCAAACCUAUUUUUAAGAUCUUAAAACUUAUUCCAAUGAAUUAUUAUUUUUAAUUGAAAAAAAAGGAAAAGCACAAAAGAAGCCAGGACCUCUCUUUCUACCUCUCUUUAUCUGAUGAACCAACGAAUCCCAACAGUGAAGAAUCAUGAACUCAGGUUUAACAACAACAAAAAAGGGUUGCAGACGACGCCGUCGCUGACGAGAUUUGGGCCGAAGCUGCUAUCAUCGACGACGAGAUUUGGGUCGUUGACAUCGUCGUCUUACAUCAGAAUGGUCUCGAUCUCAUCGAUCCAAUCUGGGGAUGAGUUCGAUGGAGCCUCCCCCACCGUUGAUGACUCUGUUGAUGGUUAGGGAGGAGAGAGAGAGAGAGAGAGAGAUGAUAGAUGAUAGAUGAUGAUAUGGGGGAGGACAGAGACGUGAAAGAAGAGAGAAAAAAAAAUGGAAAAUCUCACUUUUUUUGUUUUCAAUAAUUUGGAUGUUUUUGAGUUUUUUUGGGUUUAGGUUUUUAAAAAUGGGCUUACCAAACGGGUAUUUGGGGUUUUGGACUUAAAAUCUGUUUUUGAGUUUAUAAAAUUGGAUCCAAGUAGGAUACCAAACGGGCCCUAAACAACUUUUCAAUCUUAAUCUAUAUAUAUAAAGCAAAAGGCAGAGAAUGGUGAAACAUUUAAAAUACCAGAAAAUGCCCUUGGUUAAUGCAAACAUUAAGAAUUGAAAUUAUUAAUUAAAUGAAGAUAAUAUGGUAAAUUCAUAAUUUUUCGUAUUAAAAAAAUUAAAAUUAAAAGAAAAUUCAGAUAAUGGAUCCUAUUUUUAUGGAACACAAAUAUCCAUUAUCUUUUUUAAUUCUAAAAUAAAUUUAAAUUUAUUUUUAAAAAAACCUCUCGCAUGCGCAGAAGCGCGUGCAGAGAGGCUAGUACUGCAUAAACCAAACAUGAAAAUGAACAUCUUCCAUAUCCAUUACGUGUGAUUAUGCAUGGGAAUUUCAUUCCCAAGAAAUUCAUCCACGACCCAAAUGGCAAAGCCCUUCAUGUAUGAGUUUAAAAAUAUUGAAUAUUUCCACCGCACUUCAAAAUGGCCUAAUAAUAGGUGUAAUUUGAUGUAAUAACUAUAAAAUUACACAAUUUACUAUUCUAUUAUAGUAGUAAAAAAAUUUAACUUAACAAUCACUUUUCAAUUGUAAUCUUAAAUUGCCCUUUAAAUUUAUUUUUCAAAUGAUAAAUUGUAAUUAACUUUGAUAAUGUGGAGGGAAAUUGCUGAAUUUGGUUUGGUAACUAAAAAUAGUUUUCUUUUUCCUAUAUUGUUACUAUUUCCAUAUAUAGAUAUACACACACAACAAUAUCGAAUGUAUCAUUAUGUAUAGCAAAGCUCAAUUAUUCUAUCAUGUAUAGUCAACAAGUUCAAAAAUAGUUUUCUUUUUCCUAUAUUGUUACUAUUUCCAUAUAUAUACAUACAACAAUAUCGAAUGUAUCAUAUCUAUUGCAAAGUUCAAUUAUUCUAUCAUGUAUAGUCAAUAAGAUUUGAACUUGAGACUCCUUCAACAAAAUAUAUGCUAUCAUUAGGCCAAACGUUUCUAAGAGGCCGAAACGAUAUUUGACCCAAGAAAUCACCCACAUAGGAAUUUUCCUUUUAAAGAAACAAUCAUUUUUCCUUCCUAAUUUUCGAUUGUCAUUUUAAGUAAUAUAUAUAUACAACCACUCCAUACUUUAGGUUGUAAUAUACGUUUGUCAACAAGAUCUAGCUUAAUGGAAAAAGAUCUUGACUUUCAAAUUAUUGGUCUCUAGUUUGAACUCCCAUGACACCUUGAUAGUCCAGUGGUCUCACGUUCGAACUGUCAUGGUACUUGAGUAGUGUGCGUGUGAGAAACAUCAUCUCUCUUGUGGGUUAGACUAUCGCUUAUAUUAUAUAUAAAAAGUUGUAAUACAAGUUUUAUUUUUCCUACCAACAAAAGAAAUGAUAAAACUUUGACCUAUAGCUUACGCAGGAAGAUUCCCAUAUAGCUUGCACAACAAUUUAAAGAUGAAAGAAAUCUCAACCGUCCAUCGUGCUGACAAACGCGUGCAUUUGUAAUAAAUCCGCUUCGAAAUCAGAAAAUCAAACAAAGCCCAACAGCCGCGUAAAACAGAGGAAACAGAGACGAAGAGGGAAAACAACUCUUCAAAUUCCGAUGCUUUAGGGUUUUUCAACUUUUAAUAUUAAAUUUUCAGAACAAUUUUCGAACUUGCAUAUUGUGCUAUACGAUUCGUUAGGGUUUCACCACAGAAAGUAACCUUCUGAAUACAUUGAAUUUGCCAUGGCUCUAUUUAACCGGGAAAGAAACUCAGAAAAUACGUAUUUUCCCUGAUUUUUGCUUGGUUUCGAAUUUUCCCGGGAAAGUUACAGAGAAAGUUGAAGUAGUUGAUUCAAGGGAUGAUGGAACGUGAAUUGGCCGGUAGCAGUAGCCGUGGAAGAGAUAGAAUGGAGCAGCCGCAAGCCGUGGCUGACCGUAGAGCUCUCCGAUCACGCUAUUUUACUGUGAAGACCCUCAUUCACGGUAUCUACUUAUCAAUCUCUCAUUCUUCAAAUUUUUGAUGAUUUAUUUGUGUUCCCUUUUGUGUGGUUUAUGUGUUUGAUAUUGGGUUGCCGAGUUGUUUGUAAACUUUUCUUCACUAAAUUCUGGUUUGGAAUUUGUUGCUCUCUGUUUGGUUGCUGAGAAAGAUCAUCGUGCUAUGUGUUUUUUCCCUCGCAUUGUUUUGUUUCCCUUAAAAACAAGGCAGUUUAAUUUGAUUGGCGUUCAAGUAGUGAAAUUAUAGGAAACCAUAUGGUUUUAAAUGUUUGUAUCGGAGUUCAAGUAGUGAAAUUACCCUUCUUUUUUUUUUUAUCUCGAGCUUCUAGAUUUAAAAACUGUUUGUUUAUCUAUAUUUCACUAUAUCUAGACCAAAUAAUAAUCUAACGACUUAAUACAUACACGUUAAAUAUAGCUUAGAGUUUAGUUUCUAUUUUUUCAUUCUCUCUCUCGUCAUCUUCUCCGCAUCUUCCCCGUGCACUCCUCCUUUAUUUUUUUUGCUUCACAACUUAUUUUGUAUCGAUUCAGGAAUUACAACGCUAAUUCCCCAGUUGACAAGAAAGAUUUUUGAGGCGGGAAGAAAUGACAAAUAAAAAAGGAAUAGAUGAAGGAGCUGAUAGGGUGGGGGUGGUUGGUGCGGGUUGGGGAGAUAGAAGUCGGCUAACGUUAGUUAGUUUAGAAAAAUAUUUAUACACUAUAUUAAUAUACGUGUCAUGUCAUAAUUCGUGAGAUUAUUAAAAUGACUUAGAUAUAGUUAAAUGUAGAUAAAUGCAUAAUUUUUAAAUACAUCGGGAUCCCUAGCCUUUUUCUUAUGUCACUUGAACAUAUAUGAAUUAGAGGACAUUGCAAAAAUGGAUGUGUUUGUUGUUUGGUUUCAGGGUUGUUUAAUCUUCGAGCAUCAUCUCCAAUGGGGAUACAAAUGUUUUCUUUGAAAGUGUCCUUUGUUAACCUAUGUGGCAUUUUGAUACUAAAAUUUGCUACCUUAAAACUUUGUCCCUCCAACCCAUCCUUCAAAUAUGUUAGGAUGAAUAAAUAAACAAUUCUUUUGAUUAAAAUAUGUUGUGAGACCCAAAUUGCUAUGGUUAACUCACAUGUUGUAUUUAAGAUAUGAGUUGCUACUUCCACUGGAGGGGCUUUUAUCCUAUUUGGCCUAUCAAAUCAACAUUGCUACCCCAUAUACUAAUUCCAUUGGAGAUGCUCUGUCUCUAUAAUGGAGGUUUGGAUUGUUAUUCUUCCUGGGAUUAAUCUUCAUGUUAUGUGCUUUCUCUUUUUCUCUCCCACAGAAGUAAGUAGUUUAGGGAGGUGGAUUAGUCUGUAAAGACGCAAAUAAAGCCAGUUUAAUUUUCUUGGAGUGUAAGGAAACUGUGGGAAACCUAUGGUUAAAUUUUUGUAUUCUUUUUUUCUAAUUAUCUCUUUUUCUCGUGUCACUGAAACGGAUACGAAGAUGAAAGAGAUGACAUUACAAAAGUGGAUUCCGACAAGUUUAAUUCGAUCAUUAAUGAAGUGGAUAGCUUGCAUGAGAUGGGUAAUUUCCCUUUUCUUAUCAUAGAUUUCUCUUAAACUAAGAAAUUUACAUUUGGGAUGAAGGCUUAAUUGAUUGGUUUGCAAUGAAUUUCAGUACAAAAUCCAAGAGAGCAAGUUGCUGAUGCAGAGGCGCUUUUGGACAUUGCAAACACCUUGAUGACCUCUGUGAAGGCGCAGAACAAGGAAGGAAUCACAGCUACAGAUUUUGUCUCCUGUAUUCUUAGAGACUUUGGGCAACAAAGUGGGCUGAGAAGUAACAGAGAAGGGGUUAGCUGCUCAAUAUCUUGGAAGGAUAUUGGGACUGAAGUCUCAAAUGUUUUCCAGAGAAGCCCCCAAUGCUGCACUAUGUAAUGACAGCUCUGAAGAUCAAUUUUUUAAUAUGUUCCUUCGGUUUCGAUUUCUUUAAAUAAUUAUAUGGUUUGCUCUUCCUUCAGGAUUGGGCCUAUGAAUGCUGAAGUAAAGCAACGGAAGGCUCAUGUUCAUACGAAACGUGUGAAGCCUACAGAAAAUGAUACCCCAGAAGAGGUAUGGGUGGUUUUUGGCUUAGGGUAUCUUCUGUUUUCUCAUGAAACACUGAGCAGUUACCUAAAACUCACUUUAACUUUAUGCAGCUUGAUAAUGUUGCUGUAGAAGAGGAACCUGAGACGGUUAAGAAUGUGGCAGCAAUGUUUAAUAUCUUGAGGAAAAACAGAAGAGCCAGGCUUGAAAAUCUAGUCCUGAAUGGGAAUUCUUUUGCGCAGACGGUGGAAAAUUUAUUUGCCCUCUCAUUUCUGGUUAAAGAUGGGCGGGCUGAAAUAAAAAUUAAUGAAGAAGGCCAUCAUCUAGUUUGUAAGAUCCCUUGCAAUUGCUCACUUUCUUAUUUGACUGAGGACCUCUUCUCUUUUAUUCUCUAUUUGGUGUUAUUGUAUAGUUUUGUGUUUGGUGUUUCAGCUCCAAGGAAUGCUCCUGCUGCCAAAGCAAUUGCCUCAGGGGAGGUUGCUUACUGCCAUUUCGUGUUCAGAUUUGAUUUCAAGGACUGGAAGGUACGCUAAGAUUUUAUUGAUUGAAUGUUUAUUGUAGCUUAUCCAUUGAAUGAUUUUCCAAAUGGUGCAUUUGUGGAAUUUGCAGUUGAUGAAAGAGUCUGUUGGGGAUGGAGAGCAGCUGAUGCCACACCGGCGUCAAGAAAACAUAUCAAGCAAUUCUCAAUUUGAUCCGCAAUGUGUAGAAUCUGAAGCAACCACAGCUAAAACACCAAUUAGGAAGUUAUCCAGAAACAGAGGCUUGGUUUUACAGCUGCGGCCAGUUGGGGGAUGCGGCACGGCUCAUAGUAAUCAAUCAGUUGUAGAAGACUCGCCGGUAUGUGAUUACUCUGAAGAUAGAACUGCUGCCAUCCGAAAAGGGAAGCGUAAACUGAUGUGAAGUAUUUACUAAGGGAGGGAUGAAGUAUGCAAAUUUUGGGGACAUUUAGGACUUCUGCUUUUUAAGUAUACCAACUAGCAGUCAUUUAGCUCUCUGUAUGUCAGAUGCAUUGCUUGGGUUUCACACAUAGGACCAUGCCUUCACCUUCCACCUCUUGGCCCUUUUGGCUAUUUGAUACUGGAAGUGGAAGGUUCUUGUAUCGUAUACUUUCUUUUGAGAGAACCUUUUAGUUUUAUACACAUAUUUUAAUUUUUUAGGUGAAAAUUUCAUCAUUCAUAGAUGGCCCGGUUAGAAAAUGAUUUCUAGCAGCAAUAUUAUAUAUGUUGGUCCUAACCUCAUUUGAAUAAUUUUACAAUUUGAUAAACAAAAUGUUAAUAAAAAGUCUUGGUGGAAAUUUCAUUGCACCCUUCAUUUUGGUCUUGAAUAACAAUUACACCAAUUACAAUGUUAUGUUGGACACAGCAUACAUGAUAAUGUCAAUAGCAAAAAUGGAUUCCAACUAAAAAGACCUACCCUCAUUUCUUCAAUAGAAAGCAUGAAUAAGACCCGUGUUGUUUUUUGACUGCUAUAGCAUUAGCACAGCGCUACUUUGCUGCUUUUGGAAUAUCAAGGUUUUCAAAAACUGGGCUGUCAACUCCCACUCCCAUUGCAUUUAGACCAUUGUCGACGUAUAGAACAGUACCGGUGAUAGCUGAUGCCAAUGGUGAUGACAGGAAGGCAGCAGCAUUCCCCACUUCCUCUGUUUCCAUGAAUGGUUAAAGUUUAUGUAAGUUUGCGAGGUAAAAAUCUUGUCUAAUGAAGAAUGGAAAAUUUGGAAAUUCAUGCUUGCAUUUGGUUGUGUACUUAAUUACUCACCAGCAGAUAAUUCUUUCUGCAAGGGUGCAUUUUCCGAUGAGUAAUCAAUCAUCAUAUCAAUGAACCCAAUUGCUUUUGCCGCACGACUUCUUAAUGGUCCUGCAUAGGGGGGAAAAAACAUAUGAACAAGAAAAUGCGAGAACAUGGAACUAUGCAGCAUUUAGGGUUCAACAAAAAUGUGAGGUCUAGAUAAGUUUGAAGCCCCGAUAAGCUAUUUGGUGACACAUCUGCCAUCUGAAGACCAUUAUUGCAUAUCAGCAUCUUAUAUCGAAUGUUGAGGGUUGACUUUAACCAAGAUCCACGUACACUCAUAUGAUAGGAAGAGGUGCACCACAUCUCUUCAAAGAGAUGUUAAUCAGAAUCAUCAAAUAAGACAUUUAAUUUGAUGUGCAGAAGGGCAUCAACUCCUAAAUUACUAAAUAGCUUUUAUCAUCAAAGGCAAUAACAUCAAUAUUUUGUUAUCAGAAUGUAAACACUUUUUCGACCACAAGGCGGUCAUUUUAUGUUUCCAUUAAGUAGAAGACAGAUUCUGUCAACAGAAAAUAACUGUAGUACCAGGCAGAAGGGCAUCAACUCCUAAAUUACUAAAUAGCUUUUAUCAUCAAAGGCAAUAUUUUGUUAUUAGAAUGUAAACACUUUUUCGACCACAAGGUGGUCAUUUUAUGUUUCCAUUAAGAGUGGAAGACAGAUUCUGUCAACAGAAAAUAACUGUAGUACCAGCAGAUAUUGUGUUGACUCUAACGUUGUGUUUUCUUCCAGCUUCGAAGGCCAGCACCUGAAUCAAGGGUAGAAAUGUGAUAUAUGUGUGUAUAUAUGUUUCAUCACCAAAAAAAAAAAAAAAAAAAAAAGAGAAAAAAAAAGGGAGAAUCUAGAUAUGGUCAGUCUAAGAACUGUUAUAAAAGCAAAACAAUUAAAGACUCACGCGUGUGUCACUCUCUAGAGCAGCCUUCGCUGAACUCAUGCCUCCACCAUACCCCGGAAUGAUCCUUUCUGACGCAAUGUACGUUAGAGAGAUUGAAGCACCACCUGUCAUGUUAAAAUUUACCUUUAGAUUCUAUGCUGUCUACAAAAAGCCACUGCAACAUCAUGGGAUUCUUGAAAAAUGAAGAGGGGAGGAGGGGUAGGAGGAGAAAUAAAGCAUUAAAGUUAGAACUGUGCCUGGGUUAAUUAUUGGAGCAAAGUGCUUGAGUAAAGAAACAUAUGAGUAACUCGAUGCAGAGAUUGCUGCAAGAUACCCAUAUCUUGAUGUCUCCAAAAGAGGUUUAGUAACCUGUGCAUGAUACAUUUACUGCCUAAGUACCGUGAAGAUCUUAAAUGAUGUUGCUAAACAAAAAAUGUGAAGACAUAUUCACCUCUGGUCCAUUAGCAAGUGAGUGGACAAGGAUAUCAAUGCUGCCAAAAUCCUGUUUUACAGAUUCAACAACCUCCUGCAAAACAUUACAGAAUUAGCCAACAUACCCAAGCUGGGCCAGUUUUAGUAACCCAACAUCUGGAAACAUAACCUAUAACAGAAAGGCAUAUAAGCUCGACCAAAUUCAAGCAUGCAAUGCACCGUGGACAUCAGUGACCAGAGACACCUGGAAACAUAUGUUUCCACAUAAGCUUGAGGCAUUUCAAGCAUGUAAUUCACCAUGAAUUCUAGUGACCAGAAACAUCUGGAAUUAUAAAUUUUAACCAUUAUACGCAUUACACAUUCUAUUUUUCAUCUUAAAGAUCGCACACAAGAGCGUCAAAUUUCAUGUCUAUCUGACUAGGGGUGGAGGUUUCUGUCUAUGUGUCAGGUCUGAGCUAUGGGAAAUAAUUUCAUUAUACUAGAUAGGCCAAUCUUAUGUCAAAACUUCAUUUUCUUUGGGAGGGGGAGGGGGGAAGGGAGGAGCCAAGGUCCUCACUAGUGUGCCCUUCCUUUUUCCUCUGUGUGUCACUUAAAGGCUAAAAAUUUAGUCAAUAUCUGAGAGUCAAUAAAAUCUUACGAACUUCAAUUGAACAGUAAUUUAGUCAACACAAAAAUGAUACCUUCACAGUCCAAUUAGAGGACCCCAAGUAGCGCUUGUUGGAUUUUACCUGUACAAAACCACAAUAUGAGCACCACUACAAAUAUAAUUUGACUUUAUUGUAUAUUCCAAAAACUUAAUAUCAGGAGAUUCAUACAUCUUCAGGGACAUCCUCAGGAUUGUCAUAAACCGCGUCCAAUGGGUAAACCUUGGUAAUUUCCAUUAAAGAGCCAUCUGGCAAUCUGAAAGAAAAAAAUAGAAAUCAAAAGAAAAACCUAAAUCAGCAAUAAACUUCAAUAACAAUAACAGAGAAUUUGAGACAGCUAAAAAAACAUCAACAGAUUUGCAUAAAAUGCAGGAAAUGAAAAUCUGCUCUUACUUGCGCGACUCAUCAAACUUCCCACGCCUUAAACUGGAUUCGAAAAUGUUAAGUGCCUAUAACGAAUAAAACUUCAUUAAAAGACUACGGUUUUUCAGAAGUUAAGGUUCCACAAAUUCAGUUAGAUCAAUUUACAUACCGGCACCCAAGUACCAACUAGAAUUUCAGCCCCAGCAGCAGCAAGAGAUUUUGCUAUUGCCCAUCCAUAUCCAUGAUCAUCAGCCACUCCAGCAAUGAAUGCUCUCUUUCCUGCAAAUAGCUGUCCCAGUGUUAGAUAGAUGUGUGGAGAAUAUGAACUAAGGGAAGCAGCCUUGGAAAGCCAAAAUAUCAAUAGUUACUUCCUUUUUCCAAAACUUUGUCACCCUACCUUUGGGAUCAAAUAAUUUAAACAUCGAAAGCAAACCCACGAUCUUGCUUUGCCUUUCAAGAGUGUCUUUCUAGAUGAAAUCACAUUUCUUUUCCUAUUCUCUUGCUUUAGAACUAUAACUCUCUUGAUUUUCUGGAAUUAAAAAUCGUAAACUAGUGGCAUUCAUUAUUGACACCAACAAUAAACUAACAUCAAUUAUCAAUGAUGACGAUGACAAGGACCUUCUUGGGAAACUUCAUGACAAAUCUCUGACUCUUGUUGGCAGUAUUCUAAUUCCUGUCAUCCUUUUUAUCUGUCACUCAGUAACUUAUGCAGACACUAUGAGUUCACAAGGAUGCUGGUAUGCUAUACAAUAUGUCUAACUGUGAACCCUAAUAACUUAGUGCUUGCGCUAAGGGGAAAAGACAUAGAAUUGAUAGGGAACUGUAGCCAAGUGACUAAGUGCAAAACUUCUAUUCGUUAGUUCGAAUCCAACCAAUUCCUAGAGCGCCGCGCACUAUUGUUGGUCUAUUCUAAUUGUGUCAUUCAGCAUGUAAGUUCACGACAACUAUGAAAAACACUCAUACACAAGUUACAAAUUUGAGUACUUAAGAAAUAUACAAGAAGAAAGAUGUUUGACCUCUCAAAUCAAUAGGCAAUCCUGGCAACGGACUGUUCUCAGCUGCUCCUGACAUUGCUCUGGUGACAGCCUUUACAGAUUUCGUAGGCCCUGAUUUGAAGCUCUGGAAGAAUGGCUGCGUUGCUGAGAUGUGAGAAGAACUUUUAAGCCUUCUCCAAACUCCCACUUCACUGUUUGUACCAAAAUUUGCUGUGCCUGAAGUAUAAGUUCUUCGAGAGGAGGAUAUGGAAGGAUUAACUGCUGCCAUGUGGGAUCCAGGAGUUGUAGUCGUGGCCAUCUUAGAUACAAAUCACCAGAAACUGAAACAAACUCUGCAAGACGGAGAAGCAUAUACAUCAGUAACAGAGGUAGCAACACUAACACUCUGCUAGUAAGCUCAAACUUGUGACAUGUUAUCAGCAAUUAUUAGAGAUAUCUCUAAUUAUAAUUCUUAACAACCAACACAAGCAGUAAAUCAAACUAAUACAACCAAAAACUAGCAAUUAAUCUGUCUCAACCUGAUACAUGUAAGAUUAAACAACUUCAUCAGAGUGGUAGUAUUCAACAAAUGAAAUGCAAAAAUCUGGAGCAAAAAUAAAAACAACUAUUGGGUACCCAUUUUUGGAUUAGAUGGUAACCAAAUUAUAAUAACAAGAUUAGUUUCUUUCCAUUUCCUAAAGGUGUCUAAACAAUUGCAGCCAAUUUUACCCAAGAUCACUUAAACUAUUAGGCCAGGCUUUCAUUUUUCAUUUCCAACGUGGGAUCAUAAUACACUCAACAAAUGUCUCUACAAAACCUUAAUGAAUCAGAAAAUUUUGGAAACACAAACAACACGAGACAUUGAAUCAACCCAGUGAACAACGUUAGCGACAUGAUCAAAAGCUGUGUUUUUUAACUGAUCAGAAACCAGUGAGAUGCAUGCACACAUUCAUAGAGAGAUCCAAAGACUCACCUUUGACCUCUGCUGCAGUGUUCUGGAAGAGAAGAGCAAGGUUUUGGUUGUGUGUUUAUAUGAAAUGUGAGUGUCUGUUUUUGUGUGUGGGUUUCGAUGAAAUCGAAGUCUUGGUUUGUUGGAGAGUUGGUGUUGGGGAGCUUUGUAAAUGCCGAAUGAGGGGGUGGACACUGGACUGAGCGUUGAGCUGUGUUGUUUUUGGCGCCCUUAUGAAUGACAGUUUUGUCCUUGUUCUUAAAUGGAGCCUUUGGACUGUCAUUGCAGUGCCCCAUUUGUGCAUAUGGAUGCGAUGGGCUUAAGAUUCUGGAAGUGAAAAAUCCAAAAACAAAACUCAGUUGUGCUCAGGCCCAAACUGAAAAUCCGACGAAUCGAAUUAGGCAUGUAUAGGUCCGGAUUGGUUAGCUUCCCUUGGCCGGUUUUAGUUUUGGUUUCGGUUAUGGAGAAAAAUGGGGCUAAACUGAACUACGCUCGCCUUUAAUAUUGGAAGGUUAAUUCGAACACAUGACUUUCGAGUAUAAAGAUAACAAUUCUUAUUGGUUUAAUUAUUCGAUCAAUGGUAUAGGGAAAUUUCUAUAUACACCUACUUAGCUACCUGCUUAGUGCAUUUGAUCCUCACAUAAAAAAUUGCAAAAUUCUAAACUUUACUCCUCAUUGUAUUGAGAAUAUAUUUUUCUUAAAGUUCAACAGGUCUAGUCCAGUGAAAAAGGGGCAUUAACUUACAGAUCAAAAAUCUCAAAUUCAAAUCCCCACAAUAUCAUGGUUGUGUACGUGAAUUUCUCAAAAAAUAAAUAAAAAGAGAGGCAAAAUCAACCAUGGGGCUGCAACAGCCCAUUAUGAGAUUACCCAUUAUGGGUUGGCCCUUUACCUUUUUUUUAUUCACAGCCCACUGUGACUUGUUCUAAUUUAUAGACAAAAAACAUUACAUCACAUGAAUUUGUUGAGACAAAAAACAAUCAGUUUGGUGAAUAGUUUUAAGAACUUCUUGUAUCAGUAACAUCACUGAGUGAAUAAUAUUUUGCAAUAAAUACCUUUAUAAUAUACAUGUAGAAAUAUUUUUUCUUCAACUUUAAGAAGUUAGUCAACCAAAACAUUAUCUGGUAAAUAAUUUAAUAAAAACUGCGCUUUCAUGCAUAGUUUUCUAUUUAUCUCAUAUGUCACUAGAUUAAAAAAAAAAUUCAAGCAUAAUUUAAUAAAGUAUAAGAUCAUUAAAUAAGGUUCUUGAAUGAUAAUUUGUUUAAUAAAGCCUUAUAUGAAAUAUAUUAUUAUUAUUAUCAAGAUAUAUAAGCAGUUCCAAUAACAGUUUUUGAAAAGAAAAAAACAAUCAUAAAAAAACAUUUGUUCCAACCAAAAUUGAAUGUAGAUAUGGGAUUAGUAAAGUUGGAUAGAGUAGAUGUGCUCUCUACUAUGCACCUGAGUUUGAAUCCUCAUUUUCAUUAUUUAAAUUAGAUUAAAAUAGAAUACCGUUUGUAUAAAAAAUAAAUAAUAAAAACCAAAAUUGAAUGAAUUUUCUUUUGACAAAAUUAAAUUAUGUUAGACAUACCUUAACUGUGCCAUGCAAAAGAGGAAAACCAGAGAAAAAAGAAAAAAUGGUAAAAGAAAUAAAUUUGAGCUUACAUCAGCAACCCAGCAUAUUGGCGGCAACCCAACCCAAAUGUUUAACCCUAAUUUUAAAAUCCUCAAUUAUUUGCAUCACACAAAAAACAAUUAUUACAUCAUAUUAUUUAUUACUUAUUAUCCAGUACAACUAUUGCUGUUUUGUUAUUUAUGAUUUAUAUAUAAAAAAUAGAUAGUUAAUAUAAUAAUAUCCCAGCCAAGCUCUGGACUCUCCCACUCUCGUUUUCGAAGCCGCUUUAGUUUUUAGCCCCAGCAGCUGCUCUUCCUCUUCCAAAACCCUUCUUCUAGGGUUAGGGUUUGGGCUAGGGUUUGCCUCUAUGUUCCUUUGUCUAUCUUCUGUCUAGGGUUUUCUGUAGUAGUAAAUAGAAAUUCUUUUAUUGUUUCUGUGCUCGUUUUUAGUCGUUUGGGUUCGUUCCGGAUCUCGAUCUGUGUUCGAGAAUGAUGGAUACUCGUAAAAGAGGGCGGCAUGAAGCUGGUGCCUUCCAUGCUAAUGGUGGCUUCAAGAAGAACAAGCAAGGUUCGCUCUUUGCUUCUCCCACUCUGUUUUCUGUGAAUUUGAUAAAUUUACAUAUCUGUUAGUUUUAAGCUUUUAUUUUUUACUUUGUUUUCUAUUUGGUUUAUGCGAAGGUAUCUGAAGCUUGAAAAUUUAUCUUCUGUAAAAUAAAAAAUUUUAAAAAACCCAAGUACUGGUGUCCCUAGCAUGGCAAAUUUUUUUGUUCUACUUGGGUUUGUUGGAUUUGGAAUGUCUUUCAAAUCUAUGUGAUAUUACACGCUUCAUACUUGUUCAAGUUUAAACUGUUCCGUAUGUUCUGUUGAUGUGAAUUUGUGGCAUGUGAAAUUCUUUCCUGGUUUUUCUUAAAUCUUUGUUAUCUCAUAAUUUGCUUGUUUUUCCCAUUGUCUGUGGUUUUAUAAUGUCUCAAGUUGUUGGUAGUUUAUUAUCAGGCAAAGUUGAUUUUUGUUGUGCUUUCUUGUGCUGAACCAAUCCUUCAAAUGAAGUUACUUUGGUUGGCUGCUUUGUUUACGAAAGUCAAACAUGCCCUAUAUAAAAAAAAAAAUUAGCCGUCUUCAAUUUGCUGGUUAAUAUAGCUAGAUAAAAAUCAUGUUGUACUGGGAUUAUUUGGACUAGUACUAUACAGGUAACUAACUUUACUAAUUUUUAUUAUCUCUUUGGUUUCAAGCUUCUUAAUGGGUUUGAAAUGCUCUAGAAUAAUUGGAUUAAGGAUCAGGAGAAAAUGUAACUGAGAGGAAGUAAUUAAUGUUUUGUAACAGAAUUGGAGUCCUUUUCAACUGGUGUAGGAAGCAAAUCGAAGCCAUGCACCAAGUUUUUCAGGUUCAAAUCUUUGCCCAUCUAAGUAAAUAUAAUGAAAUGCAUCUUAUCCCUUUUAAAGGUAUUUACAAGCUUUUAUAAAAUUUCAACUUACAAUUGUUACAAAAUAAAAUCUUGUAACUGCACUAAUGAACUGGGAAUUCAUAGUUGUUAUACAGGUACGAACUUUGCUUUGGUCUAAUGAAGUUGACAAAUUCCAUGUAAUACUGCUUUAUUUAUGAAUUACAAGGAUAAGCAUCCGGUAGACUAAAUUGGGUGCUUAUGGAGUUAUAAUAAAAUUGAGCAUAGCAUGUAAUUACUUUAUAUUGUACCCUGUAGCUCAAUUAAUGUUCAUGCUUUAUCACAAAAGAUGGGUAAGACAAACUCUACUGAUAGUUUUUCCAGAUUUUAGUAAAUUUGUUUAAGCUGUUGAAACAACCCUUCUGUUGAUAAGUUGUAAUUUAUUCCCAUGCCUUCUGUUUAAGAAAUAUUAUUGAUGUGAACAUGGGUAAGAUUUAAAUUAAUUUGAAGAUGUCUUCUCUUCUUGUCGUAUAAAAUUUUAACUUAUAAUAACAUAUUUCAGUUUCAAUGGUAUGAUUUACUUGCCCGAGAAAAAAAUCUGCUUUGAAUUUAGCUCCAAAUCCUUUCUCCCCCCCUCCCUUUCAUAAUUUUUUUUUUUUUUUUUUUGGUGCUUUACAAGUGGGGCUGGGUUGAUUUGGGAUCUGUAUGGUCUUAUAGAUUCUUGUGUCUAUUAUUGACUGGUUUUCUUCUCAGUAAUAGGUAGUGAAUAAAACUUUUGAAUUGUAAAUUUGUUGAAAGUAGUAUAUGUUGCUUUGCAAUUCUCUAAAAAAAAUUAUAAUUGUAUCAGCAGGUUUUGUUAGUCAGUGAAAUAAUACUCAAAGAAAUUUAGGAAGCAAAUUUCGUUAAAGUAAAAUGAGUCCACAGAUGAAAUUGUUACUCCUAUAUAUCUGAUGGGUCCACGCCUGCAAUUAAGUGACGUUUGGACUAGAACAGUCUUUGUGAUGCAUGAUGGUGUCAUUAUCAUUUGGUCUAACCCUAUCUUAUUAACUGAAAUCACUGCUUUAUCUUAGAAGUAUGAUGGUUCAGAAUUUGUGCUUGUUUGAAUUUGGACUGAGUUAUGUCUCAACUCAAUGUAGUUGGUAUUGUAUUUUUGGAUUUGUGAUUUUGUGAAAAAUGGAGGGGGUUUGUGGGGGUUGUACGGUUCGUUUCAUUUUUAUCAUCUGAUUAGGUUUUGUCACUAAAUACUGCUAAAGGAGAUUAAGAUAAGUUUGCAAGUUAUAGUUGCUUGGUAUUGUUUGGUUAAGUGUUUCCUGUCAACCAAAAAUGUUUGUGAAAUUUAUAUUUACAUUUACAGGAACAUAGAAAAGAACAACAAUUGUUAUACUGUUGGUCCUUGGCAUACGCUAGAAGGAACUUUUGUGAUGUGAAACCUUAUUUCUUAUCUUCGAAUUGAGUGACCACUGUUGGCCUGAGUAUCCAUAUCUCUGUAGAGAAUAGUUAAUAAUUGUUUACUGUCAUCUGAUUAAAGAGCUUUAUGAUUCUGAUUGCAGCACUGCUGGCUGUCCUUUUGGCGAGAGUUGCCACUUCCUGCACUAUGUUCCUGGUGGUUAUAAUGCUGUGGCUCAGAUGAUGAAUCUUGCGCCUGCUCCUCAAGCAUCUAGGAACAUUGCUCCCCCACCAUCCAAUUCAAAUGGAUCCAGUUCAUCUGCAGUUAAAUCGCGCUUAUGCAAUAAAUAUAAUUCUGCUGAAGGCUGCAAAUUCGGUGACAAAUGCCAUUUUGCACAUGGUGAGUGGGAACUUGGCAAGCAUCUUGCUCAGUCCCACGAUGAUCCCCGUGCCAUGGGACCUGGUCCAGGCCGCAUGACCAAUUGGAUGGAGCCACCCCUUGCAGGCCCUGCAUCUAGCUUUGGUGCCUCGUCCACUGCCAAAAUCAGUGUAGAUGCUUCGCUUGCAGGAGCCAUUAUUGGGAAGGGUGGUGUAAAUUCGAAGCAGAUUUGUCGCCAGACAGGUGCCAAGCUUUCAAUCCGGGAGCAUGAGUCAGAUCCCAAUCUCAGGAACAUUGAACUAGAGGGGACCUUUGAACAGAUUCAGCAAGCAAGUGCCAUGGUGAGAGAGCUAAUUGUGACUGUUUCAAUGUCUGGCCCUGCAAAAACUCCUGGAGGAGGAGCUCCAGGGGCCCCGGCCCCUCCUGGAAGUAACUAUAAGACAAAGCUAUGCGAUAAUUUUACCAAAGGGACUUGCACCUUCGGAGAUAGAUGUCACUUUGCACACGGGGCUGCUGAAUUGCGGAAGUCUGGGAUGUGAGUGCUCUUUCAGUUUUUGCUUGCAACCUUGUACUAGUGGGAGAGCUGUUUUGAUUUGUCCAUGUGCAAUGCAACUUAGCGGAACUAACAAAAUUAUGAUAAUUUUUGGGCAUUUGGUUUCCUUUGUUUCUAGUGUAGCUUGUAGGCAUAAGUUUACUUUCUGAAUAUAUGUUUUAUAUGCUCGUCAUUUGUUUAUGUGGAAACUAGGGCAGGAUUAUUUGUCCAAAACUGUUGGUAAUUUUGAUGACACUUGCAGAACGUGGGUAGGAUUUUAAGCCUUAUAAUAACUUUUGUGUUUCAAUUGAAGUUCAUUAAGAACUGCAAACUACCUACCAAAGUACGCCGGAUUUGGAUCCUCUGCAAUGAUUUUUUCUGGCAUAAUCUUCUUUAUUUUUGUUAUUCAUACGUCAUCUCAUUAAAAUUUAAUUUAAUGGAUUUACAAGUUGACACAUCAUCCUAAAAUAAAAAUUCAAUUUACUUUUAAUUCAAAAAAGAAAAAAAAAACAUAACACUCAACCAACGAAAUAGUUAAUAUCCAAAGUUUUUUUUUUCUUCUUCUUGCUUCAGUGUCCUCUUCUCUUUUUUGGGUUCUUCCUUGCAUUUUGGGGUUUUUUCCCUCCUCAUGUCUCUCUCCAAAAAUCAAUUUUAUGGAGUAUAAUUGGCCGGAUCCAAUCAUCACCAGACAAAAGCUUUGAGUUUGUUUGAUUGUAAUUACCGACGGCUCAUAAUGAAGGACCGGAUGGAUUUUGAACUUACAGGCCUCAUGCGUUUGGUAUGACCAUGGUUCUUCUCAACUUCAAGUUGUUACUGUAAGAUUAUUAAUUCAAUUCAAUUAUGUUAUCUCAUUAAUUUUUUUGUUCUUGGUGGGUUCUUAUUCCUAAUGGGCCAUAACUCCCUUUUCUUUGGGUCUUUGGUGGGUUAUUCUUCCCAACUUCACGUUUUGGCUUUUUUGUCCAAGAAGAAGAGGCCCUGAUCUUCUUCAUCUGUCCUCCUUACGGCCUCUUGCUCUUCCUGUAAAAUCACAGCCAGAAGGAAUAAGAACCCACCAAGAACCAAUAAAAAGGAAUGAGAUAACAUAAUUGAUUUGAAUUAGUAAUCUUACAGUGACAUGAAGAGAAAAAAAAAAGUCAGAACGUAAGGAAGAAUCCAAAAAAGAGAAGAGGACAGCGACGAGAAAAAAAACAACUUAGAAUGUUAAUUAUCCCGUUAGUGGGGUGUUAGGGUUUUUUUUUCUUUUUUAAUUAGGAAUAAAUUGGGUUUUUAUUUUAGGAUUAUGCGUCAACUUGUAAAUCCAUUAGAUUAAAUUUUAAUGAGGUGGGUAUGAAGAACAAAAGUAAAGUAGAUCAUGGAAGAGAAAAUUAAAGCAGAGGAUCUGAAUCCAAAUAAGCCAAAGAGUGCAACAAAUGCCAAUCCACAAAGUUUAAUUACCAUUGAAUCCCAUUAAAGGCAUGUAAUGCUAGAGUUCCAUCUUAAUACCAAAGGAAAAACUAAGGAGAUGUCAAUCGUCAAACCAAAGGGAAGCAUCUUUUCUCUAUAACCCGCAAUAACAUGAUACAAGCAACCUCCAUUUCCAAGCAGAAACUUGCGAAUGUUGAUGGACCAAAAGCUUUUGCUUUUUUCUUUUUCUUAAUUAGCAGGGAAGAGGGAAUUCGAACUUUGAACCUCUUGCAACUUUGGAAAUAGAGGUAGUUGGUGCUCACUAAACCAAAAGCUAACUGAUAUAUUGACUCUUGAAUGGCUUUUCACCCAAGUAUCAUUAAGGCUUCCAAACCCACCCACCUCUUUGUGGCAGACAAACUUCCUCCCAAGAGACCUUUAGAAGCCUAAUGGUUAGAACAAAUACCAGCCCAUAAGAAAGAACAAAUUCUUUGUUCAAUGUCCAACAACAGUUUCUUGGGCAAGAACAAACAACCUCCUUAGGAGGCUCAAGAUUAUGAUAUUGAACAUCCAACAUCUCAUUCCUUCUUUUGAAUUUUAAGAACAUUUUUAAAGAGAUCAAUUUCACUACAGACUUAAGACACCAAUUGAAUUAUCCACACUUUUAGUCUCACAUUGUUCCAAAUUCAGUCCUCCCUGUUCUCAAAUUUGAUUUGUACGGAGGAGGUUGUCCUCGUGGUUUUGUUUUGUAGUUUUGUUUUUCCUUACUAAAAACAAAAACAAAAACGAACUUGAAGAUUACAUGAAGAUUCCAUAAAACACAUGUUGAUGCCCAAAAUGGAGUUCAACUUAAAUAGAUGUGGAGUGAUGGAUGAUGUGUGAAGACGUGAGCCUUCAGCAUGUGUAUGUGUAGUAGGCAGGUUAUUGUCUUCAGUAGUCAAUGACAUUCAGCGUAAGUAAAGUAAAUAAGCAUGCAGAAGACAAGGUAUACGUGGUUCACCCGAAUGAUUGGUUACGUCCACAGAGAAGGAUGUUCUCAUUAUGAUAAUGUUUGUUUACAUUUGUACAAGGAGAUUAGACCCAAAAAUAAAGGGAAGAAGGCCCAAGGCCUAAGUUAUAAAGCCCAAGAGUCCAAGGCCCAAGGGUCAAGACCUAAGACUCUUUUCUAAGUGGAGUGUGGUCUUUUUUUAUAGGUGAAUGGGAGUCUCCACCUCUUGUAGUCUUCUAAUGUGGGACUCUUGACAUUACCCUUAAUUAUGACUUAUGGCAAGGCUUCUUUGGCUAAGGUGACGACCUCUCAAAGCACAGUACGUGGCUGAUCUUGCUUAGCUAAUUGAUCGGUUAGUCAUGAUAUCGACAACACGUUGAAUAGAUUGUCACUUCCCAGCACAAGAUAAGGAACUUAAGUCAAUAAUUUAUCUAAUUGGUAAGAAUUUUGAUGUUGGAGUUGAAACAACUAGUAAUCUUUAGGUUUGAUAGGGUCACCAACUAGUAAAAAGGAAUAUAAUUAAAAAUAUAAUAUUUUUAAUUAACUUUUUCUCAAAAGAGUGUAAAGCCAAUUUUUAAGAGCAACUACAAUUAUACUCUCUAUUUUUUAAUUAAAAUUUAGGGAAAAUACACAAAAACUAUUUUAAGAGCUCUUUAUAAAAUUUCAACUUCAAUCAUACUUUCUAGUUUAGGGAGUCAUAAUUGCUAUAAUUCUUUUUUAAUUCAACAUAAAUGAUUCAUCUCUAUUUUUUUUUUUUUAAAUGGCAAUAUUAAUUAAAGAUUUAAAAUAGGAAGCUGAUUUUCUCACUCCUCUUUUGUCCACUUAAAUUCCUUUUGUUGGAAAUUGUAUGUUUUCACUCCUACUUUGUCCACUUACACUCCUUUGUAUGUUAGAGUAAAAAAUAUUUAAAAACAAAAUAGAGUGUAAGUGGACAAAAAGAGAGUAGGAAAAUCAUCAGCCUUAAAAUAUUCAUUAAAUAAGGCAAUAUUAAAUUAUAGGAAGUCACUAGUAGUUUAUUCUCUCUUCUCAUAUUUAGGAGCUCCUAGAGGUCUCCUUAUUUUAAAAGCUGGAUAAGAAGCAUGGUUGGAGCUGGAUAGGUGCAUUAAUUAAUUAUUACUGUAUUAAUUUUCAUUAAUGUAAGAAAAAACAAUUACAAUAAUAAAAGAGUGCUGCUAUUUGUACCCUUGUCCUAUUUUAUCAUCCAUUAUUAUGCAUUAGCCCCUGUUCACGCAUGUGCCAAUUGGUUUUAUUUUUUAUUUUUUAUUUUAUUUUUAGAAAUAAGAAAAAAUAACAUGGGUAGUUAUGUUCCAUAAAAGUAGGACCUAUUAUAUGAUUUUAUUUUUAUUUUUAAUUUUUUUAUUAUGAAAAAAAUAUGAAUUUACCAUAUUAUCCUUAUUUAAUUAAUAAUUUCAAUUCUUAUUAUUUGAAUUAACAAAGGACAUUUUCUGGAAUUUUGAAUGUUUCACUAUUUUCUAUCUUUUACUUUAUAUAUAUAGAUAAAAUACCCUUUAAUUAUUAAAAUACUACAACAUUAAUAUUUGUUUAUUACUAACAAUUUUAAUAAAAUAAUUAUUAUAAAAAUAAAACUAAACCAAAUCCAGUAUGCAAAGAUAGUUAUGCAGCUGCUGAAUAAGACUCUCGAGAUGUGACCUUGCGUUGUAGAUGAAUGACUGUAAGCAGCCAGCUUAAUUACUUUCUCUUGAUUAGUGCCCAAAAUUGGUAGGCUAUUCUUGAUCACCCCAACUGUGAAUUCUUUGUGAGAAAGAAUACAUAAUGGAUAAACUGAGACUAAGAUGAUAGAAACCUUUGGAACCUGUAGGGAUGAGUCAAUACCACCUCCCCCAACGCAGCCCCCUCUUUGGCGGCAACACUCUUAAGGCCAAGUGGGUCAUGUUCGAUAAGACCUUACUCUUUCAUCAAUACCUCUAACGUCGGUGAUGAUUACUGUUUCAUCAAUACCUCUAACGUCCGAUAAGACCUUACUCUUUCAUCAAUACCUCUAACAUUGGUGAUGAUUACGACGACGGUUGUCUCUGGUAAGGAGUUGUUGGGGAUUGUGACUAGAGUGUGGAAGGUGGUGGAUGGUUUGGGAAUGGUUGGGAAGAGGGGUCGCAUUGUCUUAAAGGCCUGUUUAGUUCAUGGGAAAUGAGAUUUGAGAAUGGAAAAUCAAUUGCUUUUCUAUGUUUGGUAAGUCUAGAUAUGAGAAUUCGUUGCUGGCUCAUGGGAAAGUACGGGGGAAAGUGAAGUCAUCCUCCCCAACUUGGGUUUUGUUUUUCCUCUUCAUGAAAAAAUUUGGAAAAAUAAGCUAACAUUAAAUACAUAUUUUUUAAGACUAUUUUAUCCCCAUUAAUAAUUUAGAAUUACAAUAUAUCAUUAAAUACAUUCUUUUUUUAUUUGAUUUAAUGUGGGUAUAAUUGAAAAUUUAUACAAACUUUUUUUUCUAUUCCUACUUUAAAAAAAUAUGGUAAAUAAAAUAAAGUGAUAUUUUUCAGUUACUUUUCCAGUAUUACCAAAUGUGAAAAAGGAAUCUUCCAUUCUCAUUCCUUGGAGAAUGUAUUGAAAAAUGAUUUCUCCUCAAAUUCAUUCUAUGAACCAAACAAGUGGGUGUAAGUUUUUAAAAAUCAUUUUACGAAGACAAUUAUAAAGAUUAGAUUUUACAGAGACAAUUUUGUCUCAUAAUACGUCUUUUCUUAAUGUUAAAGAAGAUUUUAAAGAAGAUUUAAGGCGAAUCUUCCCCGAUUUUUUUUAUAAACUUAUAAAUUUAAAAAAAAAAAUCAUUACUAAUUUUCUUAGAACCACAAGCAGUUAAUUCUUUUUGGCACUGAGACACUCUCAAUCUCUCUCAUCUCACAUAUCUAAGCAUCUUCUCAAUUGGCUGGCACUUGGUCCAAAUUUCUGAUUCAAAUUUAUAUAUAAACUUUUACACAAUGCUACCAAUUUUAUUCCAUUAAAACUUGUAAAAUAUCAAAACAAACUUCAACCACUAUGCCUUAAAAGACUUGCCCAAAAAAAAAAAACCCACGUAUUACAUAUUAACCCACCAAAAAAAAUUGGGAUUUAAAAGAUGACCUAACCCGACCCCACAACUAAUGGCCAUAGUACAUAAUCAAAGGCUCCAUUUCAACUGAAGGUCCCACCAGUUCCAUAUCCGGGUGGAUUCCCACCCACACGAGUAUUAUGGGCUGCGGUCCAACCCGUACCUGUGUUGAUCCCGAUAGGGUGCGAUUCCACUACUCCCUCCGUCACCUGGCCCGUGGGCUGCCCGGUACCAUGUCCGGGCAGCGCUGACAUUUGGUGAGCCCCAGUGGGCUGCCCUGUGGCCCCGGUUGGGGAGUAUGUGUGGGUCCCAGUGCCACUUGUUGUGUACCCCGUGGGCCCACCCACGGAUGCCUCGUGUCUAGCCGUGGCGUUGUGUGCCUUCGCCGCACACUUGUUCAGCUCGGCCUCCACCAUUCUCUCCUCCCUCUUUUGGGUUGCCAUGUCCUUUUCAACCGGGUCAUGAGCUGUCAUCUUCUCCACCUUUUUUUUUUUUGGUUGGAAAAACAAAAACAAAUGGUGAAUGAAUAAUAAAUUCAUAAAAUGAAACACAAAAAACAUGAUUAAAAUAAAACACAUGAAAUAAAACCUUUUCUUGCACUGUGGCUUUGGUCUUGUCCAUGCCAGACUUAGCAGAGGCUGCUACAUUAGCAGCCGUUUCUUUCACGGACCCCUUUACGUUCUUCCCAGACUGCAUUUUCAGCUCACUUCCUUUUUCUUUCCUUUUUUUUUUUUUUUUCCAAUCCAAAUAAUUUGUCUCAAACUUUGUUUUUUAGCACACUGUAGCAAGUUAAUAUGGUGCGCUUCAAAUAGGCUCAAAGGACGUGUUGGAGUCGCGACACGUGGAAUAAUAGAGAGUUUAGGUGGGCGCUGGAGAGAACAUCACGAUCCCUGUAUUGACACGAUGCAGACACGUGUCAGAGCGUGCUGACAGUGUUGAUGACGCAGCAGUUGGGAAAGUUUAUAUGGUUGCGACACGAAGAUGAUAAUAAUGACACGUGUCGUUUGCGUGUAUCUGCAAUCACCCGAAAAAAAAACACAUAACACAAAACCAAAAAAAAAAAAAGCAUAUAAAUAGAAUGAAAAUAACUCAAUUGAACCAAGCAUUUAAAGAGAGUUCGUUGUUUCCCGAUAUGCUUGGAUGAUUAGGUUAACAAUUGAAUCAUGAACCUAUCACAAUCGGAACUUAAAUUAGACUAACAAUUGCAUCAUGCACCUAACGCAAUUGAACCAUACAAAACUAAACCCUAUAUUACACUACAAUCAUUAUGAUUUUAACAGAGAGAUUUCAUUCUCACUAAUUUAAACCGAAACUCAAUUCAAUAUAUUUUAAAAAAAUUCCCUAAUUUAAACCGAUACUCACUACCAAAAAAAAAAGAGUGCUACGGUUUUGAAAACCCCAAUUUUAUUUCGAAACAACCCUAAUACAUACUUUUAUUAAGGAAAAAUGGGGAUCAGAUCAAUUUUGUUCUUAAAUUAUUGUUCAGGUUGCUUGAUUAUUUAGUUCAUUUGAAAUAUUUGAGUUAGAUUCGACAAUAUGUUUUAGAAAGUUUUAUACGAAACAUGUUUCAAUAAAGCAAGGAACUUUUAACUUAAUCCGGUAGAUAGCUAAGAUAUAGAUUGGAGAAAAUUAGGUCAGACGGUACUAUUUUACGUGCAUCUUUAAGUAAACAAAUUGACUCUAAAAAGAAAAAGAAUCAUCCUCAACAAACGAGAGAGAGAGAGAGAUAACAACAUGAAAGUAGAUCACCUUAUUGAACUUUGAUAAGAUGUUUGUGUUAAAAGUCAUCUAAGUUUGCUUACCUUGUCUAUUGAACUUUAAUGAGACGUACGUGUUGGUCUCUUGUAUAAAUAGACAGAGAGUUCCAAAGUUAUGAGUUUGUCUAAGCUAGAUGCAAUGCAUCAUGAAAUUUUGUACAAUUUUAUGUAGAUGGUCUACUCUCUUGUAUAAAUACGGAGUUUGGGAUUCUAUGAAAUUCACUAAGAGAAGACAGACAAGUCAUGUCCUAUCAGUUUGAAAAUAAGCCAUGAUUAAGACAAGUCUUACCUGAAUAUUCAAUUCUGGAGAUCUAACAUUGUGGGAAUGAAUAUUCAUAUCAAAUUUGGUCAGCAUUUAAACAUAACUUUGCUUCCUUGAUUCUAAAUAUUUAUAUGAAAUAUAGUCAGCAUUUAAACAUGUGCUUAAUUCUCAACUUAGUUAUAAAAAGUCUCAAGAUUGAAUUAUUAUUCUACUAUAUAAAUUUACAGAAGGGCACUUCGAAUGGAAAUUACCUUUUUUUAUUUAUUUAAAGAUGAGAGGAAAUUUGAUUUUGGGAAAUUGUCAAACAUUUGAAUAAAAUAAAAAAGUGUUGCAAAAAUGUAGCAACACAUGGUAGGCACCACUGAGUUGAUUACCACGAAACAUUUCUCCAACCACUUUUACAACGGAAGAAAAUUUGACGCACAUUUCCUCAAAAUUCAAAUCGACGGUUGAGAGGAGUAAUAGUAACACAAUAGUGAACCGGAGACGGACGGCCAACUCCCGAAACCUACUUUCUUUUAUGACAAAAUUAAUAAAGCCUAAUUAGUCACGAAAUAUGGUUACGUUGUUUAAUUUAUUUGCGUGUUUAUAUUAUAACUUGAUUCACAAAAAAAAGUUUGAUUGAAAAUGAUUUUAGGAAGCAAAGUUAUGUUAGGAAAGUAACCAAAAAAUAUCACUUUAUUGCAUUUCCAUAUUUGGUUUGCGUAGAAAUGUAAAAUAAAGUUGAUUUAAUUUUCCAAUUAUAUCCAUACGAAAUCAAAUUAAAAAAAGAAUGCAUUUAAUGUUAUAUUGUAAUUCUAAAUUGUUAAUGAGGACAAAAUGAUCAUGAAAAAUAUACAUUUAAUACUGACUCAUUUUUCAAAGUUUCACACAAAAAGGGAAAAUGAAACUAAGGAGGAGAUGAGUUACAUUUUUCCCCUAUUCCUUAUGUACAAAACAACCAUUUCUCAUGUCUGGACUUAUCAAAUAUGAGAAAACAAAUGAUUUUCCAUCCUCAAGCCUCAUUUUUCAUGUACCAAACACAGCCUAAAGGGAAUAUCAACCAUUUUGUCUACCCAUAUUAUAACACGUGUACAAGUUAUACCCCGUAACCAUACUCCAAUACCAUUAUAUAAUUUCUCAAAAAAGCUACAACUUUAAAACUUCAAUGAUGGACUUCCCCAUCCAACACAAUGACAUCAUCACCUCAACUUAAGAACAUUUAAGUUUUUUGGUCAAAGAAGAACAUUUAAGUUUAAAAAGUCUUAUUUAUAGACAAUUUAAAUUCAAAAAGGACCAGUGCUACUUGGCGAUGUGACACACCUAGCACCGUGGUUAGAGCAUUCACAAUAGGCUCUCUAAAUCAUCUCAUGAGACAAAUUUUAGGGAGGAAUUCGAAAAAUACAACUCCAACCAUGCUCCCUAUUUACCUUCUAAAAUUGAGAGACUUGUAGGGGCUCCUAAAUCUGAGGAGAGAGAAAAGACUCCUAGUUGCUCCCUAUAAUUUAAUGCUGCUUUAUUUAAAGUGUAUUUCAAACCUUUAAUUAAUGCCAACUAUUUUUUAUAUUAUUUUUAAUAGAGAUGGACCAAUUAAAAAAGAGUUAUAGCAUUUAUGACUCCCUAAACUAGAUAGCAUUAUUGUAUUUUAAAUUUUAUAGAGAACUCCUAAAAUAAAUUUUAUAUGUUUUUAGUUAAAAUUUAACUAAAAAAUAGAGAACAUGAUUGUGGAUGCUUUUAGAGCAUCUCCAACCGAUAUAUCAAAUUGUCACAUGGACAUGAAAUGACAAAAAUUGAAGGCUAAAGUUAGUCCAAUCGAGUAGUCAAAUCUUAUAUAGAUUUGAAGGUUGGAAGAGAUAUGUCAAACAUAACAUAUCAAAAAACUUGAUGUCAAAUAUUAUUUUAAUAUAUUUUUUAGUCAUGUACCCCACUAUCAUUUACUCACUUUAAAAAAUUUAUGCAUCAUAUGGGCCCCAUUUGUUUUUAAAAAUAUAUAAUAAAAUAAUAUGAUAUUUGGCAUUUCGGGUGGAGUUAAAUUUUUUUUCAAAGUGUCAAAUUGCCACAUAAGUCAUCAAAUUCAAAUUUAACAUUUGACAUCUCCCUUUGAAAUGAUUUUAGAGGCCAUCACAGCACAUCGUGUGUCAAAUAAGUAACACGUCUUUCUAAUUUUUUAUUAUUUAUUAAAUCAUUGAAGAUAAAGAGAUUUUAUGACGUCAAAUUUGGAGGAUGUGACAUGAAAGUGUAAAUAAUUAUAAAAAAAGAAAAAGAAAUGCAAAUGUCAAAAAAAUAAUAAUAUAAACGAUUUAUUUUCAAUCGAGAUAGUUCCGGAACUAGGUCAAACAAUCUACUAAAUACACCGAAUAAAAUUAGUUGCGAUAUGAUUUUGUUUGAUUCAAAAUAACCCUUUAUUAGAUCAAGUGGCCGUUAAUGGGGUUUAAGGGUUCGUUUGAGAGUGAUUCUAUAUAGACAAGAAUCACUUCUGAGAAGAAGUACUUCCCCAUGUGCUUCUUCAAAUAAUCAUUUUUAGUUAUUUUAAGCGAUUAUAGAGAAGUGAUUCUAGGUUCGAAUUUGCACAACAUCAUGAUAGUGUGUGUGAAGACACCAUUUCCUAUAGUUUAUAUUGUUGCUUAUACUAAAAAAGGGUGAUGAUUUUCUCACUUACAUUCCCUUCUGUUUAAAAAAAAUAAUAUUUACUAUAACAAAAAAAUAGUGUAAGUAGACAAAAGAGAAGUGGGAACAUCUCCCAAAAAACAUUAUCAAAUAAAAUGGCUCAAAUUUGAUCAUAACCCUAUUUUUGGUUGGGUUAUUUUUCUUGACCUUUUAUUAUUAUUAUUCUAGCCUCUUGGCACAUGCUCAUGUAUGUGUCAAUUAGUUUUUUUUUAAAAUUUUUAAAAUUAAGAAAAGAUAAUAUAGGUAGUUAAGUUCCAUAAAAAUAGGACUUAUUAUUUAAUUUUGUUUUUAAUUUUAAAAUUUUUAAUUAAAAAAAUGUAAAUUUAUUAUAUUAUUCUUAUUUAAUUAAUAAUUUUAAUUAUUAAUGUUUGAAUUUCGUUGGCAUGUAAAUUUAAAGCUUAUGUUUUUAUGUGUAGGUGUUGAGUGCUGGUACUGGCCACCCGCAUAUAAGCGGCAAUUGCCUAUCGCGCCAUAAUUUCCACAAUCGUCACCCUAAUGCAGCCCAUAAUUACGAAAAACCUCAAAUCCCAACACGUCGUUUCACGAACUCAGCAGGGGCCACUCUCGUCAUUACAAAAAAUUCAACAGCACCAGGAGGGCCAACCCACACUGACACUGACACAUACACGUGAUAGCACAGAGAUAUUUUUUUAUUUUUUUAUUUUUUUUGUUACAAGAUAUUUAUUUUUUUCACUUUCUCUUACAUGGGUAGGCACGUCCCAUCCCCGACGUCGAAAGUGCGUGGGAAAAUAGACGGUCAGUAUCGAAUGUAAAAUCAGUUAAAAGCCUGAGGCAGAGCAUCGAUCGUGUCACGCAAAGCAAGCAAAAGUUACCGAGGAGAUCGAAUCAGCUGUGGCCACGUCAUCAGAUAUACAAAGUCCGAAGAAAUCCGUGGCCCCGUCUCGUAACCCGUGGGUCCCACAGAUAUGGCAAAGCGGGAGGGAAGCCAAAGCUUAAAUAGUCGUGGCCUCAGGCCCUCCUGGACACUUCAAAAGGGCCGGCGCUUCCUCCUUAUACAACAGGCCACCGAGCCCAAGAGCGAGAGAGAGAGAGCGUGGAGAGAGAAGAGCUUCUUGUUCAGGUACUCUCUCUCUAGUUUUUUUUAUUCAUUUUGCUUCUGGUUGAUUGUUUCUGUUUGGUUUGGCUUGUCAAAUUCGGAGUUUUCUACUUGCAUUUCGCUGUUUUUGAUUGAAUGUGAUUUCAUUUUGUAUGUUUGAGCUCCAUUUCCUGCUUCAAUGGCGUAAUCUGGAUUAGAUCUAGGCGUUAAUGGUUUUCUAUGGAGAUUCAGAUCUUCGUGUUCGUUUGCGACUGCAACUCCAAUUUUAUUUCCCUUUUUCUUUUAAACGCCUACGAUUUUGAGCUAGAUUAUUAUAAUGCUACUAAUAUGAUUUUUUAAGCUCGUUCAUUCUCUAUGGAGAUUCAGAUCUUCCUGUUCGUUUGCAACUCCAUCUCCUUUUAUUUUUCCUUCUCUUUUUCAACGGCUACGAUUUUGAGCUGUAUUAUUAGAUGCAACUGGUAUUCUUCUUUUAUAUAAUAUACAUAUAUAUAUUUCUAUAUAUUUCUAUUUUUAUGGUUGAUUUAAAAGAAUUGAGCAUUUCGAAGUCCGAUCUGACUCAUAUGAGCGUAACAGUCUGGAUUUUUUGUCGCGUUAUUUGCCUUGGUCCUUUCACACAUGAUAUCUGUCGUCAUCUCUCACACCUUAUUUUCAAGUAUUAAAUUAUUUUUCAUCAUUUUUACGGUUAAUAUUAUAAUUUAAUAUUAGUUAAUAUGGAUUCCGGUUUUUUCUGUUUGAGAAAAAUAAUAGUCCGUUUUUAUGCGGUCCCCCCCAUCACGCCCGAAUUUUCUGACCAUUCGUCUUCGUUCUCGUUUUUCCUUCUUGGCUCCUUACGUUUAAAUGCCGCGUUUUAUUGGGGCGGUUGCAAGUGCGUCCUGACUAUUUUGCACAUAUUCGUGAUAACUUUUUCUCGGCUGAUAAUUUUGUAACUUUGCGAAGCUUUGGCUAGGUUUGUUUUGAGAAUUUGAAAUUCCAACGAGAAAUUCAUUGUAGCUCCGUAACAGUGUUUUAAGAAUAUUCAAAGAACGAUAUUAUGAUUGGAAUUUCAAUUUUGGUUGGCAAGUUGGCAACAAAUUAAAUUUGAUAUUUUUUGGGCCAUGGGCAAGUUGGAAAUGUUCGGCACAUUAGGAAAAUAAUCUGGUCAAAAUCAAAGCUUUAUCGUCAAGUCCAUCAUGCGUAGAGGAAAAUGAGUUUUGUUUGUCAUUUAUUAAUAUUUAAUUAACCUUGACCGAAUGGUUGACCUGAUCCUGAUAUUGGGAGAGCCAAACAAUUUCUCUUCCGCAGGUGCUGUAGUAACGUUGAACCUGUAUAAAAUAUGCUUAUUUUUACUUUCUUUAUUCAAGUUUGAGAGGCGUAAGGGAUACCUUCACGUGACACGCCUCAAUUCCUUGUCUGUUUAGAUUCAUUGAGGAUUGAGAAGUCUGCCCAUCAUAUGUUUAUAUUCAUUUUUUCAAUUUCUUCUAGUUUGGUGCGUUGCAACUUGCAACUAGCAUGAGGGCUUGUUUCUUUAUUGCCUAUGUGGGGUAGCAGUCGGCACAUAAUUAAAGUUGUGGUGGGUCCUAAGGAAUAUCAAAUAAAACCAAGAAAACUCUAUUUAUUCAAAUCACCUUUUUUCGCAAGACUUUGUUGUUGGUACUUUUUACGUCUAAUUUAAGGGUCAGUCCCCACCAAUUGUAUUCAAGUUUGAGUUACCCGUCUAUUAUUAACACAAAAAAACACUAAUUUCAAUUUUUAUUCCUUAAAAUUGUGGCAUGCAUUAAACAUCCUCUAGGUUUAUAUGUGCUUGUUCUACUUGAUUUGAAAUUCUGGUGUGACUUAUUGUAUAUAAAGACUUGAGUUGGGUUUGUAGUCAAAUUGUCCGUUAUGCAUAGUGGAUCUAAUUAGAGCAUUUAUUAGGAGUCCUUUCUCUCUCUUCAGAUUUAGGAGCUCCUAGAGGUCUCCCUAUUUUAGGAGGUGGAUAGAGAGCAUAGUUGGAGUUGCAUUUUUCCAAAUGCUCCCUAAAAUUUGUCUAAGGAGGUGAUUUAGAGAGCCUAUUGUGAAUGCUCUUAGUGACACAAACUCCUAGUUUAUAUUUGAGUGAUUAGUCUUUGCCAUCUCUGUCUCAGCUGUUAAAAAUAAUAUGUAACAAAACCAGGGAAGCUUGUCGGUACGUUUACACUGGUUAAUAGUAGCGGCAAUAACUUAGAUCAAAUUGGUUGUGUGAUGUAAAGAGCUCCUCUACUUGUAUGUUGGAUUCUUUUGGAUAUUCCACUUGCCUUUCUGGUUGGUUUUGGUCCGUUUACUUUGGCACUUUGUUUCUGAGUGGUCGUCGUGUGAGGCUUGAACCUCCAAAUAUCUCAAUCGGUUGGUGUAUUUUUAAUUCAACGUUUGCGGUGUUUCAUUUUUUUGGUGCUCUUCGAUUCAGCCAAUGAGGAAACCCGCCUAGCCGUAGUCACUCUCGAGGUCUACAGGGAGGAAUAUGUGAGAGAUCCGAGGAAUAAAAUUAUUUAUAAUUGUUUCAUGUCUUUUACCUUUAUCCUUACUAAUAUCUCCUUUUCGUUUCUUGGUGUUGAUAUCCUAUAAACUAGUAUAUAACUAUUGAAAUCCUGUUGUGGCACUACAAUUGAAUUAUUCUGUUUUGGUGGUGCAUUAUGGACUAACCUCCUUUUGACAAUUACAUUAUACUCAAGAGAUUCGUUCUUCUUUCUUUGCAGAUUUAGGAGCAAUGGGUGCCGGUGGAAGAAUGUCCGCACCCCCUACCCGUAAGAACGCUGAAACCGACAACCCCAAGCGAGUGCCAUACUCAAAACCUCCAUUCAGUCUCGGCCAGAUCAAGAAAGCCAUCCCACCUCAUUGCUUUCAGCGCUCUGUUAUCCGCUCCUUCUCCUAUGUCUUUUAUGACCUUACCAUUGCCUUUCUCCUGUACUACAUUGCUUGCAAUUACAUCCAGCCUCUCUCUCAACCUUUCUCUUUCUUGGCGUGGCCAGUUUACUGGUAUGUUCAGGGCUGUGUCCUGACUGGUGUUUGGGUGAUAGCGCAUGAGUGUGGUCACCAUGCUUUUAGUGAUUAUCAAUGGCUGGAUGACACAGUCGGUCUAAUCCUCCACUCUGCCCUCCUUGUGCCUUACUUUUCUUGGAAGUAUAGCCAUCGCCGUCACCACUCUAACACAGGUUCCAUUGAGCGAGAUGAGGUCUUUGUCCCCAAGCAGAAGUCUGCUAUUGGAUGGUACUCCAAAUAUCUAAACAACCCACCGGGCAGGUUCCUUACACUCACCAUCCAACUCACUCUAGGCUGGCCUCUGUAUCUGGCUUUCAAUGUUUCAGGGAGGCACUAUGAAGGCUUUGCUUGCCACUACCAUCCAUAUGGCCCCAUCUUCUCCGAUCGUGAACGAUUGCAGAUUUUCCUUUCUGAUGCCGGUGUUCUUGCAGUCGUAUAUGGGCUAUACCGUCUAGCUGUGGCGAAAGGGCUUGCUUGGGUUGUAUGCUAUUAUGGAGGACCUUUGAUGGUGGUGAAUGGAUUUUUGGUGCUGAUCACAUACUUGCAGCACACACACCCUUCAUUGCCACACUACGAUUCCUCAGAAUGGGACUGGUUGAGAGGAGCUUUGGCAACAGUUGACAGAGAUUACGGCAUCCUGAACAAGGUUUUCCAUAACAUCACAGACACUCAUGUUGCUCACCAUUUGUUCUCAACCAUGCCACAUUACCAUGCAAUGGAGGCCACCAAAGCUAUCAAGCCGAUUUUGGGCGAUUACUAUCAGUUGGACAGGACGCCGGUUUUCAAGGCAAUGUUCAGGGAGGCAAAGGAGUGUAUUUAUGUUGAGCGAGAUGAGGGUGACAAGAAAGGUGUCUUCUGGUACAAUAAUAAGUUAUAAAUGUGAUUAUCAAAAUUGCCCGAAUGAGUGUAGGGGGAGUUUUAAGUUCUUGUAAUGGAUCCGAGCUUCCCCUUUCACUCAUGAAUUAGGUUUCUUUCGUCGCUUGGGACUCUACUUUAAUAUGACUAGUUGUGCUAUUUCAAUAAUUUUCUCACCCCUAUUUAUUGUAGAAUGCAAGAAUGUUCUGUGCUACGUUCCUUUCUUUCCCCUCCAAUGAAUGUGCUUAAUUUCCUAAGCAAAAAGCUUCCAAAGGCCUAAUGAAAAAUGGAACGUGCUAAACCAAUUCUGAAUAUUUUCAUUUUCAUUUUCAUUUUUGCGGUUGAGAAAGACUCAAGAGAGUCGUUUUAACUUGGAACUCAAUUUCUGUGGCACAAUGAAUCCCUGAACGAGAGGGAGGCAGGCUAAAUGAAAUGAUAACACAUGGGCUUUGCUCAGCCACAGGACAAUACUGAUCCAUUCCAUCUGUCUUUGCUGCUUCAUUUAUAUUUGGCACUCUCACCCACUCUAUCUUCAACCCGUUUUUGAGGGAUGUGGAAGAAUAAAAUCCAAGGGCUCCUUUGGUGAGCUAGAUUAUAUGGUUGGAUAGAACUAAUAAUCCUAGUCAAGUGUUUGGUGGUCUAAAAAUAACUUGGAAUGGAUUAUGUCUACUGGAGCCUAAAUGUAGUAGAAUUAUGAAUCCCACCAAAAUGGGAUUGGAUUAUGUCUAUAAUCAUGCUAGACUAUAUAAUACAUUAUUGGAUUAGUAUUAUCCUUUCCGAUCAAAUGUAAUCCAAUCCAAUUUCAAUCGGGAAACAUGACCCCAAAUGUCCAAACAUGAGUGUAAAUUGCAAUAUAGCCCGUGGUGAGUUCGGAAUUUGGAAGAAUAUUACUCUUCAUUUUAUUUCAUCAGAAAGAAAAAUAAAAUUGAAUUAAAUGAGUGAGUUGUAAAGAAGGAUACAGUAAAUGAGUUAAGGAUUUCUCGACGAAGUGUUCGAUUUACUCCAUGUAACAAAAGUAAAAGGUAAAUGUGAGUUUGGCCAGUUAGUCAAGACAAAACAAAACAAAAAUUUAAAUAUCGACCAAAAUAUAUAUAUAUAUAUGUUUACUGGAGUAGCCCAAUCGAUGUAUCUAGUAUAAACUUCAGCCCAGGCUUAAUUACACUGGCCCAAUAUGCUCAUCUAUUAUUCCAGGCCCUGUUAUCAUAAGAGGCUUCAGCGAAAAAAUAAAUUAGAAAUCUGCAAUCCAGUUUACAACCCUACCACAGAAGCCCAUUAUGUUGUUACAUAAUCCUUUUAACCACACCAAUAUAUAUAAUGAAUUGGAUUAUUAUUAUUUUAAUAAUGUUGUAAAUUACGAACUUGAAAGGUAUGAAUUUCUUAAUGGGAAUGGAUUAUCUGAAUCCUGAUUACUAUGUAUGACUAAAUCAAAGUUUACAAUCAAUGUCAGCAUCCUCAAUCCUGGGUUUCAUAACAUCAAGGGGAAAUUGACAUCAAAUCACGACCAUUUCAAAAUCCUGUCGACGUUCGAUGGUUAUUAUUUCUUAAUUAAACCAUAUUAAGUUGGUAUUAUUUUCCAUCAGUCAACGGUAAAUGCAUACUUACAUGUUUCCAUGGCCAAUAGAAUGACUUGCCAUAAGAACAGAAAAUCAGAUUUAUAAGUAACCUUGAAUAUCUACAAGUCAAAAGAUUUCUUAGGCAAACAUUUGGGUUACUUGAUUUGUACUUCAAAAAGAAAAGCAAGACAAUGAGAAGUGAAAUCUCUGGACCACAAAUCAACCAUGAAAGCAACUGGUAACUAAACACAUGCAAAAAAAAAAGUCCAAUAAUGUAUGUACUACUAAUUCUUUACAUGUACACAUCAAUUGGUCUAUGAUAUUAAUUUGAUGUAUAGAGAAGAAUCUUGUAUAUUAGGUCAUACAACUAAUGUUAUAAGAAGAAAAAAAAUUGUGUCUAGUGGAAAAUUGAAAUAUAUCUUGCUUGCAUAUGCAUAUUUCUUUUGUUAAACUAUUAAAACAACGUUACGUUGUCGAAUUGUGAAUAUAGACAAUUUGACAAUUUAUUAAAUUGAUUCUUAUUUGAACGUGCGAGUUAAAUUGAUUCUUAGUCGAACCUUCUCCAGAAAAUUCAAAACUGUAUGGUUAACCUAAAAAAGGGUUGAGUGUUUUUAGGUCAUGUAUAUGGGUAGGCCAGCUUCAAAUAAUAUGAAUAUGAAUUACCGUGGGUAGGAAAAGGAAGCCUUUCUAGGCACAGAAGUUACCAAAUAGUGCAAUAUAUAGUACUUUUACUGUGCACUCGCAGUCUCAGAAUACAUGCAAACUGUAAGAUAAAAUCAUCUGCAACUGCAUGUGCAUGUCAGAUUCAAACUGAUCAUCAUCACGUGCAACAACUCCUUAAUUUCACAUUCAAUUUUACAGGAAGUAACCAUAUAUUCUGCAUGUGUUGGUUUGUUUGAGUCUGGUUUCAUAAGCGGAUAUUAUGGCGAGUACGUACAAACAUGUGACAUCUAUGCCAUAAAUAUAUAUAUGUUUCUUUCUUUCUGUUCCUGCAUAGUGCCUAAAAUGAACUAGCUAGUAGCUUCUGUGUUCCAUAAUCAUUGCCAUCUCUGCCACGAAGUUAUAUACAUACAUACAUAUAUAUAUAUAUAUGUAUAUGUAUUAUUGAAGAAUAUAAGCAUACAUGUAUCAUGAUCUGGGGUGUCCAAAGAGAAAGUAGCCUAUCUAGCCUUAAUCAUUUCUGGCAGGACUAUAUAUAGCACCAAUUCUGGUUACACGCCAUACUAAUAUAGGGUGCCAUUGUUCCAUCACAUCCACUGCGGCCUAGCAACCCUAAUGUGAAACACAUAAUAUAAUUAAAGAGAAGACCUAAAUCCAUAUAUGCAUAUGUAUAUGUUUAUACCAUAUUUGAUCAGUCAAUAAGAGAACUAUACUGAAAUAAAGGACUCAUAAGGAGGAUUCACUAAAACUAGCAAUCUAUUAUGUCCCACAAAGUACCAUUGGCAGGUUGUGAGCCUUCGGCACCAUGACUUGCCGAUCAUGGCUAAAGACCGCGCUUCAUUAGAGAUUUCUCACAAAAACACGUGGCAUCCCCUCAGGCGAAGUCCACAGUUCUACAUCAAAAUCUCACUCAAGAUGCACAUCUCCCAAGAUCUAUAAAAAAAACAAAGUAACUGUGACAUUUGACUACUUAGCCACCACUAUGUCCAAAUCACUAUUCACUUUAUACUCGGUACUAACUUAAGCAUUGAAAAGCCUUCAACCGGUACCACACCGAUGCCCAGGACCUCAUUGCUCUUUCUUCAUUUUGCAGCUAUCCAACCUGCCAAAGAGCACAUAAGAGCCGAAGGCAAUAUUGUCACAUCCUGGGAUUGCUCUAGCCCCCAACUCGCUUAACUUCGGAGUUCCUACGACUCCGAAGCCAGUGAGCUCCCAAAAGGCCUCGUGCUAGAUGGAUGCGGAUGUGCACAUAUAAGGCACAUCACCCCCUCUCCGUUGGUCGAUGUGAGAUCUUACAAUCCACCCCCCUUAAGGGCCCGACGUCCUCGUCGGCACACUCGCACCACACGGCAGAGUGGCUCUGAUACCAAAUUGUCACAUCCCGGGAUCGGCUCCGCCGUAGCACGAUAUUGUCCGCUUUGGGCCCCCCUCUCUGCCCUCACGGUUUUGUUUCUAGGAGCUCAUGAGCAACUUCCCAGUGGGUCACCCAUCCUGGGAUUGCUCUAGCCUCCAACUCGCUUAACUUCAGAGUUCCUACGACUCCGAAGCCAGUGAGCUCCCAAAAGGCCUCGUGCUAGAUGGAUGCGGAUGUGCACAUAUAAGGCACAUCACCCCCUCUCCUUUGGACGAUGUGGGAUCUUACAAAUAUGAUCAUUAAGUUGGGUCCAAAAGUAUCUGACCAUUUUUUAGCAUCAACAAAAUAUAUAUUCCUUUUUUAUUGAGAGAUCCCUCAAAUAAUUUUAUUUGAAAAACAUCCUUUAAUGUUCACUAUAAAUUUUUUUAAUAAUUAAGUGGUACUUUAGAAAAGUACUUGAAUUUUAAUAAUUUAUAAUUAAGUAGCCAAAUGACAUUGGAUUCAAGUGAUUUUUUAUAAUGAUGAUCUUUGAAUGAAUAUCUAUAAAAUAGACUGUUUAGAUUAAUAAAAUACAAUAAUAAUAAGUAAUUUCUACAAAAAUGUCCCUCAAAUAAAAACUCUAUCUCUAUAUAUAUCUCUUCAAUAAUAUAUACCAACCCUUAAAAAAAAAUAAUAUAUAUAUAUAUAUAUAUAUAGCAACCCUAAAAGCUAGUCAAGCUAGUCAAGCUAGGUGGACAAACUUUAUAGCUAUUAUUGUGAUCUUUAUUAGGCAAUUUACCAAUCAAUGUAAGAUCAUCACUCCAUGGUAAAUAAUUAAACGUGUGUACGGUCAAUUGAUUCAAAUUUGAAAUGAUGGUAAAUUAUUAGAUUGUGGUUUUCAAAUGAGUUAUGCACGCAUUAAGAAUUUUAUAAUAAAUUUGUAAUUUAAAUGGUUAAAAACAUUUACUUAUACAGUUAAAAUUAUUUUCAAAUAGGCUUGCCAUAAUCCCUUGGAGUAGAUUUUGUAAGAAUAUAAAAUUGUGAUUCAUAUUAUAAUAACACACAUGCUAAGUACGUGAUAAAUCCAUCCUUGUUCAAAGCUUUGGGAUGGAAUGAGUGAUAAGCAUUAUUUCAUUAAGAAUUUUUUUGAAAAGGAGUGGAAGACUGGUAAGAAAAAAUGCAGCGCAAGACACAUGUUGGGAAAAAGCUGACAGGAUCCAGCUAAGCAUAACACGAGAGUGCGGUCGUGCAACCCAAGUUCGUAAUUAUUACCCAAAAAUCCUAAUUAGUAAUUAAGACGUCAAUAAAGAGUGGCCUCGCACUCGUUGGAUUGGCUCCUGCUCUUGGAAGCAGCGGACGGCACGCACGUCGCCACGUGGCAGUUAAGAUUGAGUCUUUGCUCUGCCAUCCCGGGGCCGGCACUGGACUCGUGUGCUCUCUCUCUCUCUCUCUCUCUGAUGACGCAAAACGCAUCACCAUGGGUGUCAGUUCAUCACGUGCACAUCCGACGGUUAUUAUUUUCUGAUCAGAACGGAAGAUCGACCGGUACAUACACUGUACACAUAAUAUCCAAUUGAAUAUCUAUAAUAUUUCCUCUGCGGCCGGCUAUUAAUUAUUUUUCAUUAGUUCUCCUAAGCAUAGCAUGAAAAAUGAAGAGCUCUAACACAAAUGAUUGAUUUUCUAAACCUUAGAUAGAUGUGCUGUAAUCCAUAGAUAAUACAAAUACGAUCAUGAUUAUUCAGACACGAACGUUUGUAUUUUACAUUAAUAGAAACGAUGAUUCUGUUUAUCAGUGUUAUCUUUGUGUAUAGAAAUACAAUGAUGUUUUCAUACACAAUAGUCCUUACUCAAUUCUGUUAGGAAAUUAGCCCCAUUUAGAAGAAAAAUGGUAAGCUGCCAGCUACCUAGCUCGUACAAAUUGUAUAUAAUAUACAUAUAAAUUGAUGUAAUUAGACAAGAAUUACAAGGAAGGUUUUUUGUUGUAAAAAAAAGCCUUUUAUAUAUUCAAUUGAAGUAAAAGAAUAAAGUAAAAGUUGCAAAUUAAAAAGGAUGACUAACCAAUUUAGGGUUGCGUUCUCAUUAGCAUGACAUGCACGAACGAUCGUGUAAAAAGUCAAAAAAGUGAAAGCUAAACAUCAUGGCAGUUGCACCAAUUGUAAAAGGUCACGUGCCAUGUGACCUCCCCACUGAGCAAUUCUCACCUAAACAACCC